CUUCUUCUUUUUGAUGAUUUACGAUCUAUGCACUCCAUCUUCUUCUUCUCAUUAAUUUUAACUUUUUCUUUUGCAAUGAUUUAGGAAUAUGUUCUUUAAUUCUUAACACUCCACGUAAAAAUUCUUUUUCACAUAACAUAUAAUUCUUAAUAUGAGAGAUAAUCAAUCAAACCUUAGACAUAUAACUAAAUAUAGUAUAUUAAUUAUAUAACUUGGUUUCUAUGAAGAUAAGAAAUAAUCCUCUCAUAUACCAAGGCAAACCAUGCUUCAAAACCGAACUUAAAUUGUUGCAAGCGAGCACAAAACUCAAAAAACUCUCCAUUAGAUUACAAUUCAUUUUUUUUGUCUUUCAAAGUGAAGCAGACACUAUAGCUGAUUAGCGAAGAGCAAAGCUUUGUUCAAAAAGGCAACCACCAGCGACAAGACUAUCAAACUCUACCAUGAUAUGUGGCAUGGCUUGACUGUAUGUGAGUCUGAAGCUAACGUUAAUAUUGUGUUUGUCAACAUCAUACCACAAAUGUACGAUUUUCUCAAUUAGUAAAAGCUAAAUAACGUAAUCCCAAACAAAAUUCAUCGAUGUAAUAAUAAAAAUUUAUGUUUGUAAUCUGGGACAAGUUAUGGUUAAAUUUUUCCUAGAGACAUUAAAUAUGUUGUACUUAAAAUUGUUAAUGAAACUAGAAGAAUUCCUCUUUAAAAAAAUAAGAGGAAAAUUCACUUUGAAAUUUAUUAUAACUAGAUGUAAUUUUAUUGAAAUCAAUUGUUUUGAGGGUGGGUAUAAUAUCCGAACCCGAGCACCAGAUCCGAAUCCGAACCCGAAAUCUAAAAUAUCCAAACGGGCUCUAGACUCCCAAAUCUGAAAAUCAAAAACCGAAUCAGAUCUGAAUCUGAACAUACCCACAAUUUAAAUACAUAGUAAAUAUUUAUAUUUGUAAGAACCUAAGUGUUGAAAAUAUCGAAUAUUUUGGGGUAUUUAAUCUAAUUUUGAGUAAAUUUGGGUAAAAAAUGUUCAAAGUUAUUAGAUAUUUUGCGUAUUUUUCAAGUAGUUUUGAUAGAUUUAGUUAUAAAAAUUUAAUAUUUGAAAACGUCGAGUAAUCCGAAUCCGAAUCCGAACCCAAAAUAUCCGAUCCGAACCCGAUCCGAAUCCAAAAUUUAAAAAUAUUCGAACGGGUCCUAUACCUCUAAACCCAGAAAUCCGAAAUAUCUGACCCAAACCCGAACGCCCACCUCUACGUUUGACUAUCAAAAGAACCUCUCUAACGUUAAAUUUUAAUUAGUUUUAUAUCCCUUUUUUCUUAAAACAUUUUUUUGACGAGCUCUUCAACUUGCAAAUUUUUUUUUUUCUUUAUUGAGAUAUGCAAAUUAUAUUAGAUAAUUUUGCCAUUUUCACAGUUUAGAGACUUUUAACCAUAGAAUUUCAACUAAAUUUUUUAUAGUGAAUUUGAUCAAAGAUAAAUAAGUUUUGGAAGAUCUAAUAAUCAAAGUAUUUGAAACAAUAUAAGUAAAGAUGAGCAAUUCAUCUUAUUUGAAAUUGUAAGAUCAUACAAUCACUCUAAAUUCUCAUCCCACAUAAUCAAAGUUUCAUUUUAGAUGUAGAACAGUCAUUGUAACUUGUAAAGAUUCAUACAUUUGUCGAUUGAGACAUCAAAAAUCGGCUGGGCGAAGACAUCAAAACCAAUAUAAAGAGAAAGUAUAAUCGGUUAGAUAUGACAUCAAAGAGAGUGUAAUCAAAAAAACAUUAGCGUUAUAUUCAAUUAACUCGUUAUAAAGAAAAAUAUUUUUGAUUGAUUGAAAAAAGGCAAGGAAGUCAUCACAUGUAGGAUAUGUCUAGAACCAUAUAAAAUUUAUCAUAUUAUGAGGUAUAUACUUUGAGGUCAUAACUUUUGUGAUUUUUUUCUAGUUAGUUGGCUACAAAUGAAUGAUGUAUGUUCUUUAUGUCGCUACAAUUUAUCUUAAUCAUUUAUAUUAUAUUUUGUAUAUACUCCUAACAUGUUAUAUGAUAAUAUAUUAGUAUUGUUAUUUAACAUUAAUGUUUUGAUAGUUGGUUCAUGUUGAUAAAAAACAUAUAUAUGUUUUAAGUAGCUAGACAUGCAAAUGAAUUAUCAAAUUUUUAGAUCCAGCUGGAAUUUUGAUAAUUAAUAUGGAUAAGUAGUUUCACAUUUUAUUUGUUACAUAAACUCUUAUCAAAACCAUAUCGAAAAUGUAAUAAAAUAGGUUAAAGCCUCAUAUUAUCACAACUACAAUGGAUCAUAAUCUAGUUAAAAUAUUAACUUCGAAUUAUUUGAUUUUAUGAUGAGGUCAUUGAGAUCUCUAAAGUUGUCAAUGUCAUCUCUUUCGAAAAUUAUUUUUCUUGUGUCACAUGGUAUACCAUAAGUGAAGACUCCAGUGAUGUAUCUUCUAUAGUUAAUCCUAUCUCUCUUCCAUUGGGAGCUUAAUCUGGUAUGUCUUUUGAUCAAAAACAAAUCUACAUUACUCCUUCAAAAAAUUUGUUUUCAAUAAAUCUAAAAAGUAUGAGCCAAUAAAAAAAAUAUGAAAUGUGUGAAGAUAUCUAGAUUGGUUUCGGUCGGACCGAUAAAACCAGCAGUCUGAUCAAUAUGAAGAUCCACGAUAUAUGGAGAUCAGUUACAAGUUUAUAAAUAAGCCAUAUGAUUGAUAAAAAAAAAGGCAAAUGAAAAAGAAAAAAAAAACUUCUAGUUGAAAAAGAUACUAUAAUUUUACUUUAACAAUAUCAUUUUUUUCUAUAGAUAUCAAUGCUGGCAGAUAGAGACUAUAUUAUAAUUACAAAAUUUUCUAUAUAAAUAAAAAUUAACUAUGAGAAGUAAAAACUGCUAUAAUCUAAGUGAAUGUAAGAUAUCAUCUAAUUAUUAUAAAUUAUUUUUAUAUUAAAUAAAAAACUAAAAACAAUAUUGCGCAGUGUAGCGCGGAUAUCGAGUUAGUAUAAUUAAUAGUACCAUUGUAACGCCCGUGUUCCGAAAAAUAAUAAAAAAAUGGAUGUUUAUGUCGGGAAUUGAAGUAUAGUCGGUUCAAUUUCAACUGGUUUCUAAAAGGGUCGAUUUAUUAAUUAGACAAAAGAGGGGGUUUAAUUAAUUUUCGGUUAAGUAAGAUUCUGGUUUAAUCAAAUUAAACCAGGGAACCCUAUUUUUUCUCUAUAUCACGACACCAGCCUCCUCUUCUCCUGUGCCGUAACCUGCAAAGAAAAAGAGAGAAAGAGAGCUGGUUAGUGUGAGGAAAAGGGAGAGGUUGAAGUUUAGUGAAGGAAAAAGAGAGGCAGACAUGAUACGUUUUGGUAGAACAGAGUUUUGACAUAUCGAAUCGUUUCCAAAGGUAACGAAAAUUUCAGGGGUGGAUAAGACUUAUAUCUAAUUGUAGCCUUUUGCGGAUAUUGAUUUGACUCAAUAUUCUAAGAGUUAUCUCUGUUUUUGUGAGCUCUUCUGUUUCAAACGCGAUUUGGACCAGUGUGUGUUCAAAGAGAGAUUGCGAGCGAACCCUUGGUCUAAUCGUCACAAAAUUUUGAGGGUAGCUUCAGGACGUCUAGAAGAAGCUUUUCAACAGUGGGAUUUGAAAGUGGACGGUUGGAUCUCGUUUCGUGAUCCAAUCUUUUGUGAUCUUGUUUCGUGAUUUAAAACCCUAAAUCAAACUAAAACCACAAAUCAAACCCUAAAGAAACACUAACUCGAAUUUAAACCCUAAAUCAAAUUAAUAAAUCAAAUCGGCGAAUAAAGUACAAAGAUUAUAGAGAGAAAACACUUAACCUUUCAAAGAAUCUUCUGAUCUGAGAAUCGGAGAUCGGAGAAGAGACAAUCGGAGAUCGGAGAAGAGAGAAUCGGAGUAUGAAGUGAAUCAUAGAGGAGAGAAUCGGAGAAAGGAAGAGAAUCGGCGAAGGAAGAGAUCGGAGAAGAGAGAAUCGGCGAAGGAAGAGAUCGGAGAGAUUAGGAUUUUCUCGAUUUGCGGCUGGGUUUGAGCGAAGCUCAAACUAGGUCAUUCAUAUAUAUAGAUAUUUGACACGUCGCAAUUCCCUCGCAAUAUUUGCUAGUAUUUUGCGAGGAACCGCCAAAACAACCAAUAAAAACGAGGCAUACAUUGCGAGGGCAUUGCGAGGCUCCCUAGUAAAUCUCUCGCAAAGUCUUCAUUAGGGUUUUCAAAAAAUACAAAGACAUGCUUAAAUAUUAUUAAUCAUAUCUUAUUCAUUUUCUGAUUCAUUUAUUCUGAUUCAUUUUCCUAUUAUUUCUAGUAAGUUCCUCAGCAAAACAAAAACAUGACUAAAUAUUUUAAAUAAUUUAGGGUUUUGGGUAAAGAUUAAGGGUUUAGGGUAAUAAUUUAGGGUUUAGGGUAAAGAUUUGUGAGGGAAGUGCUACGAACGCCUUGCAAGUCCCUCGCAAACGCUUGAUUUAGGGUUUAGUUUUGCGAGGGAAUUACUAGUACUCCCUCGCAAAACCCUCGCAAAAGAGAAUCAAUUUGAAAAAAACAACGAAACACUACUAAAAAUCAUUCGGAUUCAUUUUUUUGAAUCAUUAGGAAUUAAUUAUCUACAUUAGGAUCAUUCAUUUUCCUCAAAUACAGAAAUGAUGUCUUAUGUUUUCCUAUUAUAUGAAUCAAUGUUUAUAACGUUUUCUAUUGAAAAAGUUAAUAUUGAUACCUAUCCAACCUUUUUUUUAUGCAUCACCAUAUAUUCAACUUGUCUGAUUAUAUGGUCUCUUGGAUUCACUUUUAUAAAUGAAAAUCAAAGAUCGCAAAACACUUGUACGUAUUUUAGGGUUUAGGGUAAAAAUUUCCAAGGUAUGUGCGGGUGAUUUGCGACGUAUUAAAUCGUUUCCGCAAAGUACUCGUAACCCCCUCGCAAAGUUGCGAGAGAAACUGUCCCUCGCAAGUUUUGCGAUGGAAGUGCGACACGCGUCCUUCUCGUAGUAAAUUACUUGAAAUGCUCUCGCAAAGGUGCGUGACAAAUCGACUGUUUUCUUGUAGUAUUUAUUUAAUUAAUUCUCGGUUUAGUAAAAUUCUGGUUUAAUUAAACUAAACCAGGGAACCCUAUUUUUUCUCUAUAUUACGACACCAGCCUCCUCUUCUCCUGUGUCGUGACCUGCAAAGAAAAAGAGAGAAAGAGAAAAGAGAGGCAGACAGGAUACGUUUUGGUAAAACAGAGUUUCAACAUAUCAAAUCGUUUCCAAAGGUAACGAAACUUUCAGGGAUUGUAAAUAAGACUUAUAUCCAGUUGUAGCCUUUUGGGGAUAUUGAUUUUAGUCAUUAUACUAAGAGUUAUUUUGUUUUCGUGAGCUAAUCUGUUUCAGACGCGAUUUGGACCAUUGUGUGUUCAAAGAGAGAUUUCGGGCGAAACCUUUGUCUGAUCGUCAGGAAAUUUUUAGGGUAGCUUCAGGACGUCUAGGAGAAGGCUUUCAAUAGUGGGAUUUGAAAGUGGAUGGUUAGAUCUCGUUUCGUGAUCCAAUCUUCCAGGCUGACAAUUAUGUGAUUUUUUCCAGAAUUUUACAGUUUGGUUUAAUUGAUGUUUUGAUUGUGGUGGUUAGCUAUAGGGUGAUUUAAGAUACUGUUGACGUGAGGAAGAAGUCAAUUGUGGUUGUGUGGUGUUGAGGUGAGUGCGUGACCAUGAGCUUAUCUAAGCUAUUGGGAUUAUGUGAUUGUUUGUUGCGAUGUGUAGGUUGGAUUUUUGAUGGAUCUAGAAUUGAAAUCCGUUAGAUGGUUGUGUUAUUGGAUGAUUUCAUUGGUUUGGUUUGUUUUCAUGAAUUAGGUGUUGAUUUGUGAUCUUAGUUGCUUGUGUAUAUAACUCGUACAUGAGAGGAUCGCCUCACUAACUAUUUAUUGAAAUACGUAUGCAUCUCUUUUCUUGGUGCAGGUAAAGAUAAAGUGUGAUCGUAGAAUCAUGGCGAGGAGAGGAGGAUGAUCUAGGGUCUUGUUGGUGUUAGUUUAUUGUUUUAGUAUGAUGGAAUUUUGGAUUUAGAAGUUGUUAGAAUUGUUAGAUAAUUUGCUGGUUUAUGUUGGUUAAAUUAUAAUAAGUUGAAUUUGGAUUUUUGAUAUUAGUUGUGUUGGUUUUCGCAUGAUUUUUAAUUGGAAAAAUUAAUUAAUAUUUAUGGAGAUAUUAGUUAAUAAAUUUUUUUAAAAAAAACGGGUCCGGUUGUUUCAACCAUUGUAUGCUUUUUUUUGUUAAAAUUUUAGGUACAUAAGAAAAUAAUUUUUCUAUAUAUGUACUGUUAGUAACUAACAAAACUAAAGUGAAAUUAAAUAAUUAAUAGAAAUAAAAAUUGAUCAAAAUAUAUUUUAAUAAUCAACUCAUCUGUCAAAUGUAUACUUUAUUUCCUUGUUUGAAAAAUUGCUAGGCGCUAGUCGGACGUUCGGUAUGGACCUAACUAUUAAUCGGAAAAUCGGAUUAAAAUUGACGAUUAAUCGGGGACUAGUUUUAGAAUUAUUUUAAUAUUUUAAAAAUAUAUUAAUAAAAUAUUAUUUUCAAAAUUGCAGUAAACACAUAAAAAUAUAUUUUAAGGUAAAUUUUUAUGAUUUUUUAUUAAAAAUUAUGAUUUUUAUUAAAAAUUUGAACAUAAAUUAUUGUAAAAUAUCACAAACUUCUAAUUCAAAUGCUGGACUAACAAAAAAAAAAGUUGUUUUAUAGUUGUAAUAAAAAAAAAUCGGGAUAUGAAAGAAUAGACGGAAAAUAAUCGGAUUAGGUAGGAAUUAAUCGGAUAAAGCGGAGAGUAAUCGGAUGACUGAUUUUUUUUAGGGAUUAGUCAUUAGUCGAGGCGGAGAGGGUGGACCUAACGAUUAAGCAGGGAGUAAUCAGACCAAAUGGAGAUUUUUAGAACUGGGCUUUAUUUACUCCUGGAUUUUCUCUAGUCAACGAUAAUCAUAUAUUUAGAGGGUGUUAGUUAAUGAUGGAGUUAAAGUCAAUUUUUUAAGGUUUAUAUUUGCUUUCUGAUAUUGUUUUUAAGAAUCUAUUUGUGUGGAUUUUAAAAUCUAUGCAGUAUAUCUUGGAUUUUGAUUCCAAUAAUUUACUCAUGAAACUCCAAAGAGGUUUCAUUUCAAAUGAUUUAAUAUACAAAGAUUUUACAAGUCUUUUAGUUUUGAAUAACACUGGAUUUUAAUGAAGUCUUUUAAAUCUUAGUUGAAUAACACCAAACUAUUAAAAUCUAAUGAAGUAUAAGAUUCAAGAACACCAGAUUUUAAAGUUAGAUUUAGAAUCAUUAGUUGAAUAUAACACUGGAUUAGUAUUGGAUUUCAAUUCUAUUAAAAUCCAUCAUUGAAUAACACCACCUUAAUAAUGUUGUAUUCAAAAUUAUAUUCACACGUAUUGGAUUAUGUGAUUUAGGCUACUUAAAACAUUUUUUUAACAAUAAGCCGACAAUAAAUAUAUUAAAGAACCGGCUCAUGAGUUUUGCAGUUCUUUGGUGAAUCAAAUGCACGAUCCUAUUGUACAGUAUGUAUAUGCUAAGCGUAGAUUAGUCAUUCAUUAAUCCCUAAUUCUCUUGUAACUCUCCUAUAGAUAUUGUAACAUUCACAUUGUAAUCAAUAAGACAUUCUCAUAAACCUAUACGGUAUCAGAGCUUCGAUUCUCUUAAAACAGUAGCCGUCACGUUUUCAAAUCUCAUUUUCAAAGCUUCUCUUCUUUCAAAUUGCAAUGGCGUCCUCUCCGGCUACUUACUCUGACACUGUGAUCAUGACGGCCGACUCACUUACCAUUCUCAAUGUCAAUAUGGAAAACGUUACCAAACUCACCGAUUUUAAUUUCCUCAUGUGGAGCCAUCAAGUCCACGCGAUACUCGAUGACCAUGGUCUCGCCGGUUAUGUCGAUGGCUCGCUCGUCGCACCACCGUGUACCAUCAUCACAGAUGGUACCACCAUAGUUAAUCGUGAGUUCACUCAAUGGAAGAGACAAUAUAAGCUCAUCUACGGUGCCUUACUUGGUGCUAUCUCCGUCAAUGUUCAGCCGAUUCUCUCUACGGUCGACACAUCCGCUGCGGCAUGGGAGAAGCUCUUGGAUACUUAUGCCAAACCUAGACGAAGUCAUAUUCUCCAACUGCGAUGACAAAUCAAACACUGGAAGAAAGGAAACAUGUUAAUCAGUGAGUACGUACGGGGCUUUACCACACGGUUUGAUCAGCUGGCGUUACUCGGUGCUCCUUAUACUCAUGAAGACCAGAUUGAUUUUGUUCUUGAGGGUCUCCCGGAUGACUACAAGUAGGUGCUGGAUCAGACUGCAAGUCGUGAGAAAGCUCCAUCAAUCACGGAGUUUCACGAGAAGUUGAUUAACCAUGAAUUUAAACUUCAAGCACAGGCGGCCAUUGAUUCUUAUUCUCUCCCGAUCACAGCAAAUGCCGUAAAUUAUCGCGGCAACGGUGGCAACAAGAACAACAAUGGCAACAACUAUCGUGGACAGCAACAACGAUUCAACAACAAGUCGAACCAAACAUGGCAACAAAACCAACUGUUCCGACCACACAAUGAUCAAUACUCGCGUUGAUACCAAGGUAAAUGUCAAAUUUGUGGAGUUUUUGGCCAUGGCGCUAGACGUUGUUCGCAGCUUCAGUUUUCCGGUGGUACAAUGUCCACUCCGAGUCAAUACUCACCAUCUCAUGUGCCUUGGAAACCUCGUGCCAACAUGGUUGCAGCAUCUUCAUCCUACAAUCCAAACCCGUGGAUCCUUCACAGUGGCGCAACACAUCAUCUCACCACCGAUUUGAACAACCUUGCUCUCCAUCAACCGUACAAUGGUGGAGAAGAGGUCACCAUUGAUGAUGGCUCAAGUCUUACCAUCUAGCAUACUUGUUCAUCAAACCUCUCUACCCUUACUCGUUCCCUAGCUUUAAAUGAUAUCGUAUACGUUCCCAAUAUUCACAAAAACCUUAUAUCCGUUUAUCGCUUGUGUAAUACUAAUAAAGUAUCUUCCUUAUGGUAUACUUGACAGGUAUAAAGUUUGAUUGGUAGCAAGAGGGUUUAAUCAACAAUAUGGUAUUGAUUAUGCGGAAACAUUCAGUCCGGUGGUGAAAUCAUUGACAAAACGGUUGGUACUACAGCUUGCGGUGUCACGGUCGUGGGUAAUUAAGCAAUUGGAUAACAACAAUGCCUUCUUGCAAGGAACACUAACCGACGAAAUAUAUGUUUCUCAACCUCCAGGCUUCGUUGAUAAGGAUCGACCGCAUUAUGUGUGCCAGUUAAAGAAGGCGCUUUAUGGCUUAAAACAAGCACCCCGGGCAUGGUACCAAGAACUCAAAACAUUUUUAUGCCUUGCUGGGUUUUACAAUUCUCUUCCCGAUACUUCUGUCUUCAUAUAUAUAUCAAAGGUGCUGAUAUUGUCUACAUCUUGGUAUAUGUGGAUGACAUAAUUGUCACGGGAUCGCGUCCAGCCUUGAUCUCCGGGUUCAUCGUCGGUUUAGCUAAUCGCUUCUCUCUCAAGGACCCGAAAGAUUUAUCUUAUUUUUUGGGUAUAGAAGCCACUCGGACGUCUCGUGGUCUCCAUCUAAUGCAGCGGAAGUAUCUCCUUGAUCUGUUGACGAAGACACACAUGCUAGAAGCCAAUCCGGUUUCGACUCCAAUGGCAGCAAAUCCUAAGCUGACUCUUGAUUCCGGAACGAUGCUUGACGACCCACAUGAGUACAGAACAGUACUUGGCCGCCUCCAAUAUUUGGCCUUCACGAGACCGGACAUUGCUUAUGUGGUGAACCGACUUUCUCAGUUUAUGCAUCGACCCACUGAUUUACACUGGCAAGCCGUCAAACAUUUAUUGCGCUAUCUCUCUGGUAUGCUAUCUCACGGUAUCUUCCUCCACGCAAAUUCACCUCUAUCUCUCCAUGCGUAUUCUGACACAGAUUGGGCUCGGGAUACUGAUGACUGGGUCUCUGCCAACGGUUAUAUCUUGUACCUUGGCAAGACUCCAAUUGUAUGGUCCUCAAAGAAACAAAAAGGGGUAGGUAGAUCAUCUACCGAAGCUGAAUACCGAGCGGUCGCUAAUACGGCCUCUGAGAUACGGUGGGUUUGCUCUGUGUUAAUUGAACUUGGUGUUACGCUACCUACUACACCGGUUGUUUAUUGUGACAAUAUAGGAGCCACGAAUCUCUGUGCUAAUCCCGUCUUUCACUCAAGAAUGAAACACUUAGCAUUGGAUUAACAUUUCAUUCGCGACAAUGUUCGGUCUGGAGCUUUGCGCGUCACACAUGUUUCUACGAACGAUCAACUCGCCGAUGCUCUUACGAAGCUGCUAGCUCGAUCUCGGUUUCAUGAACUGUUUGACAAGAUUGGAGUGACGAAACUCCCUCCAUCUUGAGGGGGCGUGUAGAGUAUGUAUAUGCUAAGGGUAGAUUAGCCAUUCAUUAAUCCCUAAUUCUCUUUUAACUCUCCUAUAUAUAUUGUAACAUUCACAUUGUAAUCAAUAAGACAUUCUCAUAAACCUAUACCUACCUCGUGAGCUUUGCAGAGAAACUCUAAAACAAAUAUAAUGUUCAUUAAGCUAUACCUACCUCGUGAGCUUUGCAGAGAAACUCUAAAACAAAUAUAAUGUUCAUUAAGCUAUUUAAUAGAAUUUUGGUACACAUCUUCUUCAUAACUCACUACUAAUGAAAGAUCCUACUCUUUAAAAUACAAGUUUACCUUCAAAAUGAACGAUAUGAUAAAGAUGGAUUUAAUCCGGUCGAAAUUAAUCUAGAUCUUUCAAAACUUUUCUACAACUUUUAAGACUUUCUUUAAUGUUGCAAGAUGUUCUCCAAAGUUCUACAAUGUUCCGGACAAUAGACAAAGAUAAAGAGAUUUGAAAUGGUGUGGAUCUCAUUUUCUCGACCUACUAAAGCAUACAACCUAAAAGAUUAAUCGGAUCGCGACAGUCGUAACCAGAAAAUUAAAAGUAUACUUGAGCUUAGUUAAAUAAUUAUUUAUCACGAUGAAAAAAAAAAAAGUGAAUAACAUAAACAGUGAAGACACAAUGAUUGAGACCGGGAGGAAUCUAGAAACAACCCAAUUGCUUAAUAUACAAGAAACAUAAUUGGAAAGCCACAUUGUUGCAAGAUAAUAUGGUACACAAGAAAAUUAUUUCAAAACAAAAUUUAGCAGUCUUCAACAGAAAAUCCCUUGCCAUUUUCCUUCUCUGCUGAGUCUUUACCCUUCGUUGGCUUAAACCACAAGGCACAUAUGAUAUAGACAACGAAGUUAAUUCCACUGAGAAUGACUAAAAGCCAAUAAAAGUAAUCGAGUCGGCCGUGGUUGAUGUUAUCAGCUAGCCAUCCUCCAUCAGUAGAAGUUGAAGUGACCCUCUUGACGAUUGAGACCAAGAAACUGCUGACAAAGAAACCUAGUGAUAGAGUGGUCAAGAAGAGUCCAGUGCUCAUUGUUUUCAUUCCUUUAGGUGAUUGGGUAAUGAAGAAAUCAAGUUGGCCAGUGUAAAUAAAAGCUUCCCCAGCUCCCACUAAGAAGAAUUGUGGAACAAGUAAGAACACACUUAUAGGCAAUGUUUUUUGUGAACUAGAUUUCGCAACCGAUAAACGCUUUUGCUCAGCUAUAGCUGCAGCUGCCAUUCCAGCGGUUGAUAAGACCAAUCCAAUAGCUAUUCUUUGUAGGCUAGAGAAACCUGAAAUGUUAAGGCAUGUUAAUAUAUAUAUAUAUAUAUAUAUGCAAAAAUAUAGAUAUAUGAAUGUUGUAUGCAUCUUAUGUCACCUGGUUUUCCUUUCCACUUCUUCCAAAAAGGCAUUAUGGCACGGUCAUAGACAGCUAGAGUUAUGAGAAUAGCCGCAACGAAAAACACGGUGAGGGAACCAGCUGGGAUCUUGAAGUUUCCAAUGUUACGUCUCAUAGUCGAAGCUUGCUCAACCGAGAAUGUAAUCAUUUGGGCAUAUGUUGUCCAGAAAAUUAUAGUUGUUGCCCAAAUAGGCAAAAGCCUAACCAUCAUUUUCACUUCCUCAACUUUGGUCACUGAGCUUAGCUUCCAAGGGUUUGGAAUUGCGACUCCAUCUAGGGUUUGUUCGAAAUCUCCUUCUGCAACUAUGGCUGCCUUAUCCAACAAGCUACACACGAGAUUUUAUAUAUAAGAUACAAAAUUUACUUCUUUUUCUAUGUGAAAAUUGAAUAGAGAAACUUACUGAAACUGAUCAGUAUGUUCGAUUCUUAUGGCCUCAGGAUUAUCUUCAUAAAGAUAAACAAUGCUUUGAGGUAGUUCCAUUUUCCUCUUCCUAAAUGCAGCCGCUAUGACCUGAAAGAUUUGCACAACGGGACUUCCUUGACUCUUUUUAUAACGGUAUCUCUUAGUCCCACACAAGAAUAUUACUAUAGCUAUAGCCAUAGAGACAGUGCAGAUUCCAUAAGCCCAAGAUCUCCCCACUUCAUCUUGCAUGUAAACUAAAACAGUCACAGCCAACAAUGUCCCCAUGCUAAUGAAGAAGAAGAACCUGCAUGUGCCAAUUAAGAUUAUAUUUUAAAAAGGAACACUAUAACAAUGUUACAAUGCCAUGAAAAUAAACUCUAAACCUAACCUGUUGAAGAAGAAAGCCAUGUGAGCUUUUUCUUUAGGAUCUUUGUCAUCAAACUGGUCAGACCCAAAUCCGGAGAUACUAGACUUAAGGCCACCAGUUCCAAGAGCUAUAAGGUAAAGCGAAAUAUAAAGAAUUGUCAUUUGGAAGCUCGUCGCGGGUAUGCAAGCUUCCCCAUGAUGGCAUGUUGGUGGACGUAGUUCCGGCAGCUUAGUUGCUACCGCUAGUGCACCAGUUCCCUGUAUACGAGACAUCAAAACCGUCUCAAACUAUUUUCAAGACCUUAGCAGAUUUUAUAGCAUACAUUUUGUUUGAUGUGUCUAAGUGAUUUUAUUUUAUUUUUAAUAGAGCUCUAAUUGAUAAUUUCCUUACAAAAACAAUUUUAGAACCGGAUAUCUUGGAGAAAAAUACAGGUUAUUCAUUCUCUUAGACGCAUCUACUACUAGAUGGUAAAACCAACUAGUGACAAUGACCUUUUUGGAGCUAUAUAUAAGCUAUUAGAUAGAGUCUUACCAGAGCUUGAAUGGUUGAGAAAAUAGCGAUGGUUUUGAAACGGCCGAGGAAGGAGUCAGCGAGAAAGCCGCCGAGCAGGCAAAGGAGGAAGGAAGUGCCCAUGAAGUCAGUGACAAUAUUGGCAGAAGUUGAACUUGGGAGAUGCAUUGUCUCCAUCAAAUAUGUUACCAAAUUCACUGCUAUUCCCAUUGUUGAUAGCCUCUCCACAACUUCUAUCCCUGCAAUAUAUAUUUUUCAUUUUUAGUCUGUCAACAUUUGUACAUCUUCUAAGUUAAUUUGUGAGUCCAUUUCAUACAUACAAGUAGAAUAAUCUUCAACUAAUGUUGUGUUAAUCCUUAUUUUCUUUUGUUAAUUCAGAAUCCAAAUCGAUUCUAAGUAGUAAAUGACUCAUGGUAAGGAAUCUGUAUAUUUUAGGAUUUAGAAAAUUAUAAUGUUUGAAAACCGCAUGAAAGUAGCCAUAAACUGAUAAAUAAGUUUUGUUGCAUGUCUAAAGGUAAAUUAAUACGAAAAAGAGACGUGAAGUGACUGAGACUCAAAACAUAUACGGUGUGACUGGAUGUUAUAAAUAGAGGAAAAGAAUUGGAAAGAAAAAUAAUUCUUCUCAAUUACUCUGUCAUUCCUCCAAUCAAGAAGAAUUUAUUCACCAACCAAUUCUUCUCAAUUCUUUUACUUUUCAGUAGAAACAACUAUAAAAUUUCCUCCCAUAAAUACAUGGUAUACAAAUUUCUUCUACUAUUUAUUUUUCUUUUCUUCUCAUUUCCUCUCUUAUUUUUCUUCUCUUUUCUUCUUAAACCACACCAGUCACACCCAUAGAGCUUUCAUUCUCCAACUAUUAUUUUAUUUAUUUUGGAAACAUGUUUAAAAUAUUUAUAAACAUAUAUAGAAUAUUUAUGAUAGGUUAUGGCUGUAAAAUUCAAUCUUUUUGUCAUUUUAAAAAUUAAGGAACUGAUAGUGAUGGAGAUAUAUGAUCAGUUUUAAUUUUUAAACUCAGAAAGCAACAAAAAUAAAAUUUGGAUUAUCUGGACUAAUUGUGUAAUUAAGACAACUGGUAGUUUCUGUAAGAGAAUAUUAAGGAACAAAACAAGGGUUUUGAGGUCGGCAUUUUAUGCUCUCGAAAGAUUAACGGAAAGAUCUUAGAGCAUGAUUAUUGGUAGUAUCUUAAAAAUAAAUCUUAGGAAUAUUUAAGUAAUAUAUUUGUAAAAGUGAUAGGUAAGAGAUAGUAUUUUGGGUUAAGAUUUUUGUGUGAUUAAUGGUAGGUUCUUAACAUGUGGUUCUUAGAAAAAAAAAUAUUAAUAUAAAAAUGAAAUUUAUAAUUAUAGAAAAUUUAAUAAUUUUUGCAAAUUAAAAAAAUUAAAACAUACAUGAGAUACAAUUUAUAACAUAAAUAAUAUAAAGCACAAAUGUUUUAAACUUAAUUUCUAGAAUAUUUUGUCCAUAUAUGCUCAGCUCGACCAAAUCUUUCUUCAAUCCUUUUUAAUUAAUCACAAUGUGACACCUUACAACAUCUUAAGUUAAGAAAAACAUCUUAACUUAGAUACAAAUCUUAGCUUUAAGAUGUUGGUUUGAUUAUUUUUAAUCAACUUUAAUCCUAAGAUUUGUCUUAAAAUGAUCUUAGUAAUUUAAUGAUUAAAAUUAAUUUCUAAAUAAGCUUUAAAACUAAGGUGCUUGCUUACCUAAGAAACAAAAACAUAGUUAAGAACCAAAUUUAUUACUUUAAUAUUUUUAAGAGCUAUUUUUAAGAUACCUUUAAUAAUUAUGCUCUAGACACGUGAAUACAGAUGCAAAAUCUAAUUUUCGUUUUUCUCUUUCUAAUCAAUAUUUCUUUUUGAGAAUGAUUAAACUUAUUAAAAUAUAUAUAUAUAUUAUGAUUGGAUAAGCGAGAUGGGGAGCCAUGUGGCGUGUCCCUUUUCUCUUUAUCUUUCUUUCAAUCAGCGAGAUUCAGAACAACGACAUUUCAUAUUUGUUAUAUACAAAUAUAUUUAUUUCAAUCAUAUCAUUCAUGUGUGAGUGUGACUGAUUUGAAAAUUGAGUCUCUUUUGUUCAUCAAUCAUCACCAUGUAUUCAGUAUUCACAAAUUAUACAACUUAUAUAUGGGAAAUCAAAACUUAUACGCAUGCCACCUUCUUGAUCAAAUUAACUACGUGUAAACAUAUUGUAUGUAUCCACUAAUGAUUACUCUGCGAAUAUGUGCACGACAGAUGUAUUUUCUUCAUUUACCGAAUAUUACAUAAUGGAAAAAUAUAUAGUCGUUAUGAAUGUCACAUGAAGUAAGAAAUAAAGAUUUUAGUUAAAAAUAAGUAAAAAGUAUGCGGUCAAAUAAAGAAGAAGAAGAAUUGUUCAUAUUUAGCUAGGACUUAUGUGAGUAAAUUUCACACAGAUACUUAUUGAUAAUGGCAUAUGUGUAUGUAAAUAUGUAAUACAUGUUGGACCAAAGAUAUGUAUAUGUAUAUAUAUAUAUAUAUAUAUAUAUAUGUAUAGGUAAAGUAGUAAAGAAGAAGACGAACCAAGAAUGAGAGCUGCAGUGAUCCAGCCACCGGUUUUUGAUUUGUCGGCGGGUCGGCCUUUGUAGUCUACGGCAUCAGCCACUGUCCAACUCCCUUUGCUCUCCUGAAAACAACCACAUCAAUCUAAAGUUGCCGAAUCUUAUAACCAAUAUAUAAUUUACAAGUAAGAAUAAUAAGAUUAUCCAAACCAUUUUCCUUCUAUAUCUUCAAAUAAUUAAUGCCUUGAUGAGAGUAUUCUUAGUUUCUUCUAAGUGUUUGCUCUUUGUUAGCCACAGAAGCAAAUAAUGAUGGAGAGGAAACUGCCUUUUUAUAGCCACAAAAUGAAUGAAAGAGAGCUAGCACCGACCUUCCACUAUAUGUGAUUUGGGACAUAUCGCAAAAACGUGAAGUCUUAGAGAUAGGUUCAUCACACUUUUUUUCCAACUUUAUAUCAUUUCUCAAUUUUAUUUUGGAAAUUAUUUUUUCCUCUUUUUUUUACAUUUUCACUUUUUUAUUACUAUUUUCUCAUUUGUUGUAAAUUUUCUCUUUUAUUAUGAUAACUUAUUUGUUUGACCCAAAGACACACGUACAGAUUACAGAACUCAUAUGGAUCAUGAAAAGAACACUUGCAUAUAUUUCCAUAAUAUAUUUGGCGAGAUCAAGUAAAGAUUCUCUACGAGGUUCAUUACUAUUAAGUUUCAGCUCUUCUUUUUUUACUUCUCCACUAACUGUUGAAAAACUGCACCAUAUAUAAAAUAUAUAUCUUUUUCCUAAAUAAGAAGAAUUGCAAUGAGAAACUAUAGUAGAAUAUCACAUAUGUUUUUCUCAAACUAAGAAGAAUGGCAAAGAGAAAAUAGUAGACAAUAAAGAUACUUUAACUAAAUAAAAACUUAUUUGAUUACCUGUAAUGAAUUUUGUAGAAACUAUUAUUAUUGGUUAAGAGGUGAGAUGGGUAGAGAGAAAAGUUUUAUAUUGUGCACGCGAACCGCCACUCAUUCUAACUCUCCAUGUGUUCGAGUGGGAAUAUUAGGAUGGUAUAUUGGUGUGGUUACUAUAUAUGGUCGGAAGGAAGCAAGGAGUGGAGUUGGUAUUUUGGUGACUUCCACGUCUUCAUGGUUCCUGGAAACCAUAUGUAGAGUUAGCACAUGACUACUCUACCUUCCUAUAAUCCUAUGUGAACAAGAAAGACGUCUCAUGUGGAAAGAUUUGCCCAAUUCAUUACCAAAGCAAGUCUGGGUACAUUUUUUCGUCAAGUACACCGCGAGAGUGAGGUCCGUCUCAAAUCUUCAUGUAGAUACAGUCCCUAGAGGGAAAAUGUCUUGUAGAUAGGAACAAAGACGUUGUAGUCAGGAAUAACAAUGGUUAAAGUUGUUUUGUUUUAGGAAUCUUCGACAUUCAAGUUUGUAACAAGACUGUGUGAUAUAGUUAGAAACUAAAAAGUUGAUUUUCGUGAAACCGAGUCGAAAGUGAUAGGUCUAUACGGCUUCCUCUACAAAACAAUUUUGGCGGUAACCGAGAGAAACGAGUUGAGGUAAAAUAAAAAACUUUUACGGUAAAAUAUAAACUCUUUGUAAAAUAGUAGAGGUAAAAUAAAAAUGAUAUUUACCUCAAAGUAGAGUAUACCUCAAAAGUAGUAAACAAUAUCAUUUUUAUAGAGUAUACCUGCUCUAAAGUAGUAAAGAAGUAUAACACACAUCGAAUUGGAUCGAUACUUUCUUUGUAAAAGAAAAUGUUUAUGAAAUUUGGUCUAAACCCUUUAUCAAACACGUUUGGAGCAUAAACCAUCAUAUUACUAGAUUUUAAAAGGCCAAGUCAAAUCUAGCAUGAACAAUUCCAAAUGAAGGAUUCCUUUACUAAUCUAUCUAUACACAUCUUUUAUCAAUAAUCAACUUAUUCUACCCCAUAAUCUAAUAGUGAGUUUACUCACUCAUGAUCAAAAUACAAACAAAAAAAAGCGAGAUAAAUGAAAGUAGAAACGUAAUGAAAAAAAGUAAAGAUCGAAAUAUGAUAAAAUAAUAUUUACUAAGUUUUGGAUGAAAUGAUGAGAUCGUCAUUCCAAAUAUAGUUAUAGUCUUGUUAGUCCCUCUUAAAUACUUAAACGAACUUAGAGGAAAAAAGUAUAAACAAAAUUAAAAGUAAAUGCAUCCAAAUGAGUAGAAAUAACGGGUACUAAACGAUAAGAACAAAGUAUAUCAAUUGACAUACUUCGUCUAAGUGUUUAAGAGGGACUAAAAAGACUUCAACUACAUUUGCUUGAAGUUGAAUUCAGACAUUUGCUUGUAUUCAGACAGAAAAAUGAAAACCAAGCCAAAUAAAAAGGCUCGGAGACGAGAACUCACAUUCAUAUUAAAGAUGGUGCUGUGAACGAGAUAUUUUUCCUACCCCUAAAAAUAUGCAAGCUUAACCAUAAUCAUCCCAAAUCAGAUUUUACUCUAAAUGCCGAGACCAAAAGAAACUCUCAAAAUCAAUCAAAUAUCAAUGUUAACAUUUAAUUUAGUUUGACGUGUAUUUUUGCCGUAAGAUUACCAAUCACGCAUACACAGCUUUGUGAAAAAGCUAAACAAACAAGAUAGUUAAUGCAAGUUACGGGGUUCACUAAAAAAAGAAAUAAAGAGAGACAAUAAUGUAUUCGAGGUCUUUUCGUGUGUUCUAUCCUUGUCGAACAUUUUUACUCCUUUUUUUGACCAAAAAAAAAUUUCCCUAUAAGCUAGAUAGACAUUAAGAACUUAAGUUUUGAUGGAAAUUUCUAAUCUUGUCGAACAUUUUUUCUCUUUCUAAGUCCCAAAACUAAAUUCCCUUUAAGCUAGAAAACAUUAAAUUCCCUUUUAUUGGUAUAUAGCUCAAAAGUUCUCCGGGUCGAAUUACCCAUUCAAUAUAUUCUUGUUUUGUUUGGCCUCAUUACUCUAUUGUGUGUCGAGAUGGAGUAAACUCUUCGUACGGGUUGCCCGGCGGUUUGUGACGUAGUAGGUGAUGGCAUGUCUAAACUUGAACUUUGGACACUCAAGUGUUGCUAUAGUAUUCAAGUCUUAUAGGGAUGUCGGCAUACGGGUUAAGUAUCCCAUUGUACUCUUUAUGACUCAUCAUGUCCUCUAGUCGCUGGGAGGUUGUCUUCCCGAAACAUUGGUUCAUGCCCUCACUACGGUCGUUUAACCUGAAUAGAAGUAUCAUGCUCUUAUUCUGGUUAUCUGUCGAGGUUGUUGAGUUGUUCGUUCAUGCACCGUCGUGUGAUUUGCAAGUGCAAAAUCACCUCUGUUGGGGUCGGAUUCCACCCGCGUUAAGUCCGAGCUAUGACAACGCCUCGGGACCUAUAACCAAAUCAGCUCGGGGAACUCUGACCAGACAGUUCAAGAUCCCGCACGGAUCGGUUCGGGCAUCCUCAUUGCCGGUUCGGGAUUACCAACCAACUUGGAUACCCGAGCCCGUCAAUCCAAUACCCGAGCCCGACUCGGAUAACCGAGCCCGUUCACAGUUCGGUCAACCGAGCCGAUUCUUGUUAACGUCUGAACGACCGAAUCCAUCCACGGUUCGGGUUCCUAAGCCCGUUUCUCCUACGAGUACCCGAGCCCGACAAAUAUUUCGGCUCGAGCAUAAUGUCAGAUUGUUUACCCGAGCCGAACACCAGGAGAUCUCUGAAUUACCCGAGGCAAGACCAUAAGUCACCCGAGGCGAGAUCAUCAACCACUUAAAGCGAAGACUUGGUGAAAUAUUCACCCUCAAAGUACCAUUUCCAAGCAAGGCAUCAUUUCCGAUAUACCCGGAAAUGAUAAGGGAGAAUCUAGAAGGAUCGACUCAAAUCAGGAAGUCUUCAAAAAACUCCGAAGAAUAAGGAAAUUAUCCUAAUCCGCGAUAUUCUGGCCGACUUCAAGAUAAAUGGAAAUCUUCCGAGAAUAUCGCUGGAGAGGCGGUUUAUCACCCCUAUAUAAAGAGAUUCAAGGCUCAAGCAAAAGGCAAGCAAUAUCGCUCUAGAAUUUACACUACGCAAAGCUCUCACAGCACUAACAUCUUUUUCUUUACGAUCAAACUCUUGUACGAUCAAAGUCAUCUUGUCCUUAAUAAUAUCAAGAACACCAUCUUUGGUAUCGAUUGAUUCUGUCGUUCUUCGAGAAUUCUCGCAAAUCGUAUCCCUAAAUUAAAACCCUAGACAAAUCUCGAUUGUGUUAGUUUCGACUUCCAUAGUUUGGCGCCGUCUAUGGGGAUACUUUAGAAUUCUCUUACCUUAAGACGCAGAACUCGAUUACCGAAAAGGACGAUGAACGAAGACGGUUGUCAGACACCACCAGCCGGAGGAGGGAACCCCAAUGCUCCGAACCCUCAAAAUCCUCAAGCCGAUCCGACGAUCAUAGCGACCCUAGCCGAACUGAAAGACCUGAUGGUUAAAUUCCAGAAGAAAGCUGACGACCAAGAGAAAGCUAACAAAACCUUGGCACAACGAGUCGACGAAAUUGCAACACGUGGGCAACCAAAAACCACGCAUUUCCAGACUCGGCCGCCACGAGCUCGGAGGGAUUUGCCUGGCAUCAACCCAACAAGACUCACGUUCGCGACACCAACCGACAACACUAGAGUCGCAACCUGAGCCGACCCUGCCAGACGCGAGAACCAAGAUGAUCCCACCGAGCCAGACGCAGUGGACUUGACGGACGAACCAGAUGAUUUGCAAGACGAGCGCACCCGAGCCGGAGCUAACUCCGCCGAGCGAACGGACCUUAUUGAUGACGAAGAAACUGAGGAAAACAUAAGGUGGGCCGAAGAAUCCGAAAGAGAAGACGAGCUGAGCAAGAUCCGAGCCUCCCUAGCCAAGGCGGAAGCUGAUAUGAAGCUCGUCAAAACCCAGAUACAUAGCGUUUCAUCCUCCGCACCGAACAUCGACCGAAUUUUGGAAGAAUCUCGGAAUACGCCUUUCACCAAAAGAAUUUCCGAAACGACGAUGUCCAAUCUGGGGAAGUUCAAAAUCGAUUCUUACAACGGAUCAACCGACCCGAAGUGCCACAUUAAAUUGUUCGUGAUAUCUGUGGUCCGAGCCAGGUUCAAGCCCAGGGAGAAGGAUGCAGGUCUAUGCUUACUAUUCGUGGAACACCUCAAAGGACCCGCAUUAGAGUGGUUUUCAAGAUUGGAACGAAACUCGAUUGACAGUUUCGACGAGCUGUCUACACUAUUCCUCAAGCAAUACUCCGUGCUCAUCGACCCCGGAACCUCCGACGCAGAUCUGUGGUCCCUAUCUCAACAGCCCACCGAGCCGUUGAGAGAUUUCCUCACAACCUUCAAAUCGACGCUAGGCAAGGUCGAAGGAAUUACAGAUGUAGCCGCUCUUUCGGCUUUGAAGAAAGCUCUCUGGUACAAGUCAGAAUUCAGGAAAGAGUUGAACCUGUCUAAACCGACGACAAUUUGCGACGCGCUGCAUCGAGCCUCGGAUUUCGUCGCCCACGAAGAAGAGAUGGCGCUGCUAGCAAAGAGGCAUGAGCCAACAAAACAGGCGCCCCGAGCCGAGAAAACCGAGAAAGCCCAAGCAACACCUUCGGUUCAGAAGAAGACGCGUGAGAGCGGUACGUAUACGCAUCACGAAGGGCGCAAUUUCUCAGGAUACCAUAACUACCAGAUUGACACGCCCCGAGGCCGUGGCCGUGGCAGAGGCCGAGGCCGUGGGCGAGGAAGAGAGUCCUUCACCUGGACAAGGGAUCAGCCACCGAGCAACGAUCAAGAAUAUUGCGAACACCACAAAAUUUUCGGUCACCAUACCUCGAGAUGCCGAAGCCUCGGAGCUAAGUUAGCAACCAAAUUCCUAGCUGGAGAGCUCGGGACGAACGUCACUCUUAAGGAUCUCGAGCCAGAGCCAGAGCCCGAGCAGACCAAUCCGGGAAGAGACCCUGAACCAAGGAACCAGGAGUCUCAGAAAAGAACCCGGGGGACGGAAGACGAAGACCGAGAUGGUACGCGGCAGAAGAUUAUCACUAUAAUGGGUGGAUCGCCAUACUGUCCUGACACCGUAGCGGUAAUCAAAGCUUAUCAACGCCGAGCCGAGACGCCUAACAACUGGACAAGACGCUUCGAUCGACCUAACGACGUGAUCACAUUCGAAGAAAGCGAGACAAAUGGGCUCGAUAUGCCUCAUAACGAUCCAAUCGUCGUCACAUUAGCGAUAGGACACCAUGAUAUUUACCGAGUAUUAAUUGACACCGGCAGCACCAUCGACGUAAUCUUUCGCGAAACGCUCCGACAAAUGAACAUCGACAUGUCACAGGUAAUUCCGACCCCGAGGCAUGUCCUCGGAUUUUCAGGGGAAACUUUGAUGACGCUUGGAACCAUCCAACUGCCAGUCCGAGCCGGCGGGGUGACAAAGAUAGUCAACUUCUCAGUCACCGAUCAACCUACCAUCUACAACUUCAUAAUGGGAACUCCGUGGUUAAAUCUGAUGCGAGCUGUCGCAUCAACAUAUCAUCUGUGUGUCAAAUUCCCGACCCCCAAUGGCGUGAAAACGAUCUGGGGCAGUCAGAAAAAUUCUCGGAUGUGUUUCAUGGCAGCACACAAACUCCGAAACCCUGUCACUGAAGCGAAGGCUGAAACCGAUCACAAGAAAUCAAAACUUGGCCAGAGUGAAGAGAAGGCUAUAUCUAAACAGUUAUAGCAAUUACAGAUCGAGGAGGCGCGCGAGGAGAAGAAGCCUACCUCGGAUCCUGUAAUCUCCAUUAGCCUCGAUGACGAACGGCCUGAACGAUGCGUGGAAAUUGGCAGCGACUUAACCGAGGAAAUCAAGACCGAGCUCAUCUCAUUCCUCAAAGAGAACAUCAACACCUUCGCCUGGUCGGCUGAAGACCUACCUGGGGUAAGCAUCGACGUAAUCUGCCACGAGCUGAAUGUUGACCCAUCUUUCAAGCCCAUCAAGCAGAAGCGAAGAAAAUUGGGUCGUGAUCGCGCAGAUGCCGUGAACGCCGAAGUAGAAAAGCUCCUGAAGAUCGGCUCGAUCUCCGAAGCAAGAUAUCCGGACUGGUUAGCAAAUCCUGUCGUGGUAAAAAAGAAGAACGGCAAGUGGAGAGUCUGCGUCGAUUUCACCGAUUUGAACAAAGCUUGCCCUAAAGAUAGUUUUCCACUCCCACAUAUCGAUCGCUUAGUGGAAGCAACUGCGGGAAAUAAGUUGCUAUCAUUCAUGGAUGCUUUCGCAGGAUACAAUCAGAUUCUCAUGCACCCCGACGAUCGCGAGAAGACAUCAUUCAUCACAGACCGAGGUAUCUACUGUUACAAGGUCAUGCCCUUCGGACUCAAGAAUGCUGGCGCAACGUAUCAACGGCUCGUCAACAGGAUGUUCUCCGAGCAGCUCGGGAAGACGAUGGAAGUUUAUAUCGACGACAUGUUAGUCAAAUCCCUUGAAGAAAGCGAUCACAUAGCCCAUCUACGCGACUGUUUUCGCCAGCUCAACAAGCAUAACAUGAAGCUCAACCCGGCAAAAUGUCGUUUCGCGGUAAAGUCGGGAGAAUUCUUGGGAUAUCUCGUAACUCACCGAGGCAUCGAGGCAAACCCGAAGCAGAUCGAUGCUCUACUGAACAUGCCCUCACCACAGAACAAGCGCGAAGUCCAACGUCUCACCGGGAGAGUCGCAGCCUUGAACCGAUUCAUCUCGCGGUCCACUGACAAAUGCCUGGCUUUCUACGAUACUCUGCGCGGAAACAAGAAAUUCGAAUGGACCGAUCGCUGCGAAGAAGCUUUCCAGGAACUGAAGAAGUAUCUGGCUAAUCCACCGGUGUUGGCGAAACCAGUCCCAGGCGAGCCAUUAUUUAUGUACAUCGCAGUCUCUGAUACGGCGAUAAGCGGAGUCAUAGUCAGGGAAGACAGAGGAGAGCAGAAGCCGAUAUUUUAUGUCUCACAAACUUUCACCGACGCGGAAACACGCUACCCGCAAACUGAAAAGCUCGCCCUCACCGUAGUAAUGUCAGCUCGGAAGCUACGGCCAUAUUUCCAGUCUCACUCAAUUGUCGUCAUGGCGCCCGUAUCACUUCGAACCAUCCUGCACAGUCCAAGCCAAUCGGGACGCCUGGCCAAGUGGGCAGUAGAACUCAGCGAGUAUGACAUCGAAUACAGGAACAAAACAUGCGCGAAAUCUCAAGUCCUGGCCGAUUUUAUCAUCGAGCUGCCAACAGAAAACGCCCGAGAAGAGUCACCCAACGCUGUUUGGAUCCUUCACGUCGACGACUCAUCCUCAAAACAAGGUUUUGGCGUCGGAAUCCGCCUAGCGUCACCAGAGGGUGAAAUCUUCGAACAAUCCUUUCGGCUAAACUUCGACGCGACUAACAACGUGGCUGAGUAUGAAGCGCUGAUAGCAGGACUUAAGCUGGCUCGGGGACUUAAGAUUAACAAGCUGCGAGCCUUUUGCGACUCCCAGCUCGUGGCUAAUCAAUUCAAUGGAGAAUAUGCGGCUCGCGACGAACGAAUGGAAGCGUAUCUUGCUCUCACGCAAGACUUGGCGAAACAGUUCGGCGAGUUCGAGUUAACCAGAAUCCCACGAGGUGAAAACACAUCGGGCGAUGCCUUAGCAGUUCUAGCUUCAACCUCCGACCCGAAUCUGAAGAGAAUCAUACCGGUCGAGUUCAUCGAAAAGCCGAGCAUUGAAGAAAAUAGCAAGGAUCAAGUUCUAACAGCUCGGGAGACAGAAGAACCGGAAGAAAUGGACAUCGAACUGCUAAACCAGCAAACUACGGACGCAACUGAGCCCGAAUACGGAAGCGACGCCAAAUUGAUCGGAGCCAUCCGAAGCUACAUUGCCGAUGGAGAAGUUCCUACUGAAAAAUGGGCAGCUCGGAAGCUUAAGGCAAAAGCGGCUCGGUAUACUCUGAUCGACGGAGAACUCUUUAAAUGGCGAUUUUCCGGUCCCUUCCUUAUCUGUGUCGAAGGAAAUGAAGCUCGGAGAGUCAUGGAAGAAGUGCACGGCGGAUCUUGCGGAAACCAUUCUGGCGGGAGAGCCCUAGCUAUAAAGAUCAAACGCCACGGAUAUUUUUGGCCGACAAUGGUCAAAGACUGCGAGAAGUUUUCUCAAUAGUGCGACAAAUGCCAAAGGCACGCACCAACCAUUCAUCAACCCGCCGAGCUCCUCUCUUCCAUCACUUCGCCUUAUCCGUUCAGGCGAUGGUCCAUGGACAUCAUUGGACCUCUACACAACUCCUAGCAGAAGAAACUCGUCCUCGUACUGACAGACUACUUCUCCAAAUGGAUCGAGGCGGAAUCCUACGCUAGCAUGAAAGACGCGCAGGUCGAGAACUUCGUCUGGAAGAACAUCAUAUACCGCGACGGGAUACCUUACGAGAUCGUUACAGACAACGGAUCACAGUUUAUUUCGGCUCGGUUCGAAGGAUUCUGCGAGAAAUGGGGAAUUCGCCUCAGCAAGUCUACGCCUCGGUACCCUCAGGGAAACGGUCAAGCCGAAGCGGCAAACAAUACGAUUCUCGAUGGAAUAAAAAAGCGCCUCGACGCGAAGAAAGGCCGCUGGGCCGACGAAUUGGAAGGAGUACUAUGGUCGCACAGAACCACGCCGCGGUGGGCCACGGGAGAAACGCCUUUCGCCCUUGUCUACGGCGCGGAGUGUGUGAUUCCCACCGAAGCCGAGAUCCCAGGACUAAGAAGACGUUUUCUCCCCGAACAGGAAAAUUCCAACACUCAGAUGAUGUUGGACGAGCUGGACUUAAUUGACGAAAGAAGAGAUUCGGCUUUGAUCCGUAUGCAGAACUAUCAAAAUGCAACGGCUCGGUACUACAAUUCUCACGUUAAGCAUCACCGUUUCCACGAAGGAGAUCUCGUACUGCGCAAAGUUUUCCAGAAUACCGCCGAGCAGAACGCAGGUAAGCUCGGCGCAAAUUGGGAGGGACCUUACACGAUCGCAAAGGUAAUCCGUCCCGGCGUCUACGAACUCAUCAACAUGAACGGCAAAUCGGUGCCUAGAUCCUGGAACGCAAUGCAUCUAAGGAAAUACUACCGCUAAAAACCUAAGGUACGCAUGUGCUCGAACUACGGGGUGGCUUGAUCCUUGAAAAGGGUACGUAGGCAGCUCGUCCUCGGACGAGUUCAGCUACCCCCCUAAUUAAAAAAGGGGGGAGUGGGUCCGUAUACAUAUACUCCCACUAAAUUUUUCAAAUUUUCUAAGUUUUUACCCUUCGGAUUUUCAUUUUUAUCCACCUCGACAUCUAUCCCAAAAUUCAUCUCGGGAACUUUUACGGUCUCCUUAUCGACCCACAAAGCCAAUAGUUCAUUCGGACGAUGGCCACGUCCACGAACAGAGAGCUCAUUUCACCGCUUCGGUUACAGCGCGCUAUAUAAGCAUCCAAGACAAUUCGGUGGGAGAUAUCUUGCCAUAAAGAAGUUGUCUUCAGAAAACCCAGUUGACUUCAACACUGGUACCCCAGUUCGCUUCUAAGCACUGGAAAUCGACUAUAUCAGCUUGGGUCGCAACCGAUAAAGAUUAGUCCCAUGUGACCGAAACCCAGUUAUCUUAACACUGGUACGCUAUUCAUCGCCACGGUUCGGAAGUUAAAACAGCUCGGAAAAGAUUAACUUCUCGAUGAAACAAGUCAGAUUUGCGAAAACUCGGUUACUCAACACUGGUAUCGAAUCGGGUUCGGAAACAUCUCGAGAUAAAAGAAAACAAAAUUCACAUUAAAUGGAUAAAGCCAUCCAGGCAUAAGUCUUUACCAAAGAAACUCAAAACAAAAGGAAAAGAAGCAAAAGGGAGCGCCUCGGGAUCAAUCUUCCUUCUCUGGAAUCUGCGCGACCUCGGAAGUCAAAUUUGGCCCGACCGGAUCCUCUACAUUCUGGUCAGAGUCGGGAGACACUGGAGCAACCUUCAAAUCUCCAAGAAGCUCCGCCCCAAGUUUGGCGUACUCAGCCUCAGCAUCCCCAUACUCUUCUUUCCACUUCAGCACCUCUUCUUUCUCCUCUUCGAUCCUGCUACCACCUUCAAGCUCCGCGAUCAGCUCAGCGUUGGCUUUGGCUUGAGAAAAAUACACGAAACGCUCCGAAACUUUGUCGAAAUGGUUCAACUUCGCCUCGGUCGCCUUAACCUUUUUGGCAAAGUCCUCCGUGAGCUCUCGUCUGGCGGCCUUCUUCGCGCGAGCCACCUCUAUCUCGCGGAGAGCUUUCUCUUCCGUCAGCAAACGAUUAAGGCUCUCAAUCGUCGCCUCGGCCUCCUGUUGGGCACGAAGAUGCUCCUCGGCCAUUUUACGCCUUGUCUCCUGCUCAGUAACGAUUAGCGCUUCGGCACCCUGCAUCGCCAGAGUGGCCUCGGCUGCCUUCUUAUCAGCUUCGACCCGAGUCAUUUCCAACUGUUCCUUGGCCAUCUCAUGUUUGCGCGCCGCAGAAUCGUAAGAAUGCACCAUCGUAUUCAUCGAGGAAAACGCCUGAGAUACAGAAGGGAAGACGCAUUAGAAACUUGAAAAUAAAUAGGCCUUAAAGGGUACUUGGCGAACAUCUACCUUCAAAAAGUUGGCCGAAGUCUCACCAUACUUGUCCGCUUCUACCAGACUUUCAGGAGCAGGAAGCAGUGGCCAAGCACACGAGGCAAUGAGAUUGGCGGACGCAACUGCGUCCUUAUAGAUCGGGCGAGAAGCGGUGCUCUCUUUCCUCGACCUCUUCCUCUUACCCUCGGAAUGUUCGCCUCGGGGACGCUUUUCUUUCGACUUAGCUUGCUCACCAGCAAGCAGGCCAACAACGACAGAGGCGCCUCUCACCUCGGGGACUUGAUCACGUUCCGGAAUAAUCUCGGACACUUCGGGAGGAGCCGCGGUAACGAUCAAAUCAACUCCUGACCCCUCGGGCUUAUCAGUCGCCUCGGACCUUCCAGACAGCUCGUUUCCACCUGUCGCCUUGGGUGGAGUCAAGGGCCUAAAGAUCGCCCCGAGGGUCCGAUUCUCUUCGGCAGCCUUCUUCUCGGCGGCUUUCUUCUCCCUGAUCGACAUCUUCACCCCCUGCAUCUCUCUCAAGAAAUUCACUCGUUGAUCUGAAGAAGAAGACGAAGAAGAACAAGAUACGCCGUGGAGAACUCUCAAAGCUCUAUCAAUCCUCUCGCGCGUAAAGUGCCUCAACCAAUGACACUUCCUAGCGGCAAGCUCUUCAUGGGUAUCAAGGAAUCCCUCGGGAAAAUUCUCAAGAAACAACGGGUUUCGAUCUGUAAAAAGAACGAGGAACAUCAGAAAAAUUCUGAAACCGCAAUCAGCAAGCACGAACUUCAGGUUAAGUACCAAUUUUUCCCCAUUUACAAAGUACCUUCCCAAGACACCCCUCGGGAACACAAUCCUCAUCUAAGGCAACGAAGAAGAAAUGAUCUGUAUAUUUCUCAUCUUUGCUAGGGAACCCGCCAGUAACCCUCCUAUUCUUGGCUGGGGAAAUUUAGUAUCUUUCCACCGAACCCUUAUUCCGACGGAUCUCCAAGAGGUUCCUUAGGUGCCCAAGCGUAAUAUCGUGACCCGUCUCCAUUCCGCGUACUAUAAUCCCAAUGAGGUGUCGUAAGCCUCGGGUUGUGAUCUGAGCCAGAGCCAGCUUGUACGACCAGAGAUACUCUAUGAUCGCCCUCGGGAUCGGGAACCAUAGGAAGCAGAAAUAAAAGAACCCUUCGUACAGUGUAAAAAACCCCUCGGGAGGAUUAUCCGCCCUCUCGCUCGGGGUUGGAAGUCGCAAAGUGACCGCCUCGCCAAAACCGAACCGGGCCUUCAACUCGCGGAGCGAAUCCGCAGUAGACAAGGUAGAACCCGGAGGGUCGGGCUUUUUCGUCUUUUUGGCUCGUCGCUUCUUUUUCUGAGCUGUCAUCGCACCCUGCAUUGCCGCCUGAAGAAGCCUGGCUUCCGCCUCGGCGUCAUAAAAGACCUCUUCGUCCUUUACCGAGGGAAGAACCGGUGCCUCGGGAGGAAUCGGCGCCUCGGGAACAUCGGCCCAGCGGGAACCCCCGGCUUCGCCUAUGGCUGGGGGGCGUCUAUUCUUCCUUCGAAGAUUCACCUCGGGCUCUUCAGGCAGAUCUAAUUCACGAGCGACAUCGGCAAUGGCAUCUUCCCGAGCCACGAACCGGCUCGGACUCUCUUGAGUAUGACGAGAUGGCUCGGCAUCACUGCCUCGGCGACCCGACGUGCUAGCCUCAGAUUCGGAACUACUCCACACCAUUCUUCUUUUGUGGAUCGGAGGAAGACUGUCACCUCGGGAUGAACCACUCGAAUCAGAAAGCAUUCGUCGCCUCGGGGCAAAUCGGAGAAACAAGUUUUGCAGAUCGGACAAAUCAACCCUAAGAUCUAAAUCACGGCGGCAAUCAACGGAAACUAAACAGAAAAAGAUAACCAACAAAGAGAUCAAGAUCAGAGAAAAGAAAUCUAACCUUAGCUCGUUUUUCUUCAAAGUUUGCAAAAUGAGAAAAAGAGUCGAGUAUUCGGAAUAUAUAGAAAAUCCGAGGCGCGUCGGGUGCGCGUGACUUUAGAAACGUGUUGCGUCCGCCUAAAAUCUCGGGAACUGGCGAAAGACGUUCCCACUUCUCGAGGUGGAAGUUCAACCGACACACGCUAAAAGAAGAUGAAGCGUCAAAAGAACUCGAAUCGUCAGGAGAAUUCGGAUCACUAAAAGAUUCGAACUUUCAGAUAGCCUCGGCGUACAAAGACAAGCUCGGGACAACGAUUGAACUGUUCGGACUAAUCAUUAAGCUCAUCGCUUGCUCCUCAAGACAACGAGCUGGGGGGCUAACUGUUGGGGUCGGAUUCCACCCGCGUUAAGUCUGAGCUAUGACAACGCCUCAGGACCUAUAACCAAAUCAGCUCGGGGAACUCUGACCAGACAGUUCGGUAUCCCGCACGGAUCGGUUCGGGCAUCCUCAUUGCCGGUUCGGGAUUACCAACCAACUUGGAUACCCGAGCCCGUCAAUCCAAUACCCGAGCCCGACUCGGAUAACCGAGCCCGUUCACAGUUCGGUCAACCGAGCCGAUUCUUGUUAACGUCUGAACGACCGAAUCCAUCCACGGUUCGGGUUCCUAAGCCCGUUUCUCCUACGAGUACCCGAGCCCGGCAAAUAUUUCGGCUCGGGCAUAAUGUCAGAUUGUUUACCCGAGCCGAACACCAGCAGAUCUCUGAAUUACCCGAGGCAAGACCAUAAGUCACCCGAGGCGAGAUCAUCAACCACUUAAAGCGAAGACUUGGUGAAAUAUUCACCCUCAAAGUACCAUUUCCAAGCAAGGCAUCAUUUCCGAUAUACCCGGAAAUGAUAAGGGAGAAUCUAGAAGGAUCGACUCAAAUCAGGAAGUCUUCAAAAAACUCCGAAGAAUAAGGAAAUUAUCCUAAUCCGCGAUAUUCUGGCCGACUUCAAGAUAAAUGGAAAUCUUCCGAGAAUAUCGCUGGAGAGGCGGUUUAUCACCCCUAUAUAAAGAGAUUCAAGGCUCAAGCAAAAGGCAAGCAAUAUCGCUCUAGAAUUUACACUACGCAAAGCUCUCACAGCACUAACAUCUUUUUCUUUACGAUCAAAGUCAUCUUGUCCUUAAUAAUAUCAAGAACACCAUCUUUGGUAUCGAUUGAUUCUGUCGUUCUUCGAGAAUUCUCGCAAAUCGUAUCCCUAAAUUAAAACCCUAGACAAAUCUCGAUUGUGUUAGUUUCGACUUCCACAACCUCAAAGCCUUCCUAAUUUAUAUUAUUAUAUUUCUAAUAUUAUUAUCAGAUUCUAUAUCUUGGUUUAGUAGGUUUAGUUAUUUGGUUUAACUUAACCAAUUGUAUAGGUAUAGUAUAAAUACUCUUGUACAGUGAUGAUUAUACAAUAAUGAGAAAGUCAACAUUUGAAAACUCUAACAAACUAUUCUCAUCAUCUCCUUCUCCGUAAUAUGGUAUCAGAGCCAUCAAAGCUCAAAACUCCAUUGAUUUCGACCUGAUUUCUUCGUUCUGAGCUCAGAUUCUUCUUCUCCGUUGUCUAAUCUCUAGAUCCAAUGGUGACUGUAACUCGUGCUCAACGAAAAUCCACUCGAUCGAAGUCUGGUACAAGUUCCGCUACUCGAAAGCCGUCGCGAUCCACCGGCGUUGUUGAUUCACCUCCGAACCUCCUCCAGUUACUAAAUCUAAUGUUUCUGGAGCUUUGCGAGCUCAAACAACAUCGGAAUCUCCAGAUCCGACUCACUCUCCUUUCUUUAUGCAUAGCGCCGAUCAUCCAGGUUUAAAUAUCAUCUCUCAUCGCUUAGAUGAAACGAACUAUGGUGAUUGGAGUGUCGCUAUGCUUAUCUCUCUAGAUGCUAAGAACAAAACUGGAUUCAUAUAUGGAACUCUCUCUCGUCCUUUAGAAAUGGAUUUGAAUUUCCGUCUGUGGUCUAGGUGUAAUAGCAUGGUCAAAUCCUGGUUGCUUAAUUCUGUUUCUCCUCAGAUUUAUCGAAGUAUUCUUCGUAUGAAUGAUGCUUCGGAUAUAUGGCGUGAUCUUCACAGUCAUUUCAAUCUGACUAAUCUUCCACGCACAUAUAAUCUUACUCAAGAGAUCCAGAAUUUACGCCAAGGUACAUUGUCUCUAUUUGAGUACUACACUCGUCUCAAGACAUUAUGGGAUCAAUUGGAUAGUACAGAGGCAUUAGAUGAGCCUUGUACAUGUGGUAAAGCUACUCGUCUGCAACACAAGGCAGAGUGAGCUAAGAUUGUGAAAUUCUUGGCUAGUUUGAAUGAAUCUUAUGCGAUUGUUCGCAGACAGAUCAUAGCUAAGAAAAUUCUUCCUAGUUUGGCAGAGGUGUAUAACAUUUUGGAUCAAGACAAUAGUCAACAGGGAUUCUCUAAUGUUGUUGCUCCACCUACUGUUUUCCAAGUAUCUGGGAAUGCUAACUCUACUGGCAUGGAUCCUACUAUUUGUUAUGUUCAAGAUGGUCCUAAUAAGGGAAGACCAAUUUGUUCUUUCUGCAAUAGAGUGGGACAUAUUGCUGAGAGAUGUUACAAGAAACAUGGAUUUCCUCCUGGAUUCACACCCAAAGGAAAAACUGGUGAUAAGUUUCAAAAACCAAAACCUAUGGCUGCUAAUGUUACUUUGACAACUACAGAGUCUGUGGAUACUCAUUCUAAUUUGGAGAAUAUGGUUGGGAACAUGAAUAAAGAACAACUUCAACAGUUCAUUGCAAUGUUCAGCUCUCAACUUCAGAAUUCUUCUCCCAGUAACUCUGCAGUUGCUAGUUCUUUUCAGUCAGAAAAUAUUGGUAUUUCUUUUUCACCUUCAACAUACUCUUUUAUUGGCAUAUUGACUGUUGCUCGUCAUACACUUGAUUCUAAAACAUGGGUGAUAGACUCUGGAGCUACACACCAUGUAUCUCAUGAUAGAAGUUUAUUUUCCACAUUGGAUACUUCUGUUUUGAGUUCAGUGAAUUUGCCAACAGGUCCCACUGUGAAGAUCAGUGGUGUUGGUACAUUAAGAUUUAACAGUCAUAUCCUUCUCCAAAAUGUGUUGCUUAUCCCGGAGUUUUGACUGAAUCUCAUCAGUAUAAGUUCUCUCACUGAUGAUGUUGGCUCCCGAGUAAUUUUUGACAAAACUACUUGUGAAAUUCAGGAUCCUAUCAAGGCCCGGAAGCUUGGUCAAGGUAGGAGGAUUGUAAAUCUCUAUGUGUUGGACAUUGAAGAAUCUAUCUCAGUGAAUGCAGUUGUGGACAUUAGUAUGUGGCAUAGGAGACUUGGUCAUGCUUCUUUGCAAAGACUUGAUGUUAUUUCAGAUUCAUUGGGAACUACAAGGCACAAGAAUAAAGGCUCCGAUUAUUGUCAUGUCUGUCAUUUAGCAAAACAGAGAAAGUUAUCCUUUCCUUCUCAGAAUAAAGUUUGUAAUGAGAUAUUUGACAUGUUACAUAUAGACAUUUGGGGUCCUUUCUCAAUUGAAACAGUUGAUGGUUUUAAGUACUUCUUAACAAUAGUAGAUGAUCAUUCAAGAGCAACAUUGAUUUAUCUACUAAGAACUAAGUCUGAGGUGCUAACAGUUUUCCCUGGUUUUAUUGAACAAGUUGAGAAUCAAUACAAGAUCAAGGUUAAGGCUGUGAGAUCUGAUAAUGCACCAGAAUUGAGAUUUGCAAGUUACUAUCAACAGAAGGGUAUUGCUUCAUUUCAUUCUUGUCUAGAGACACCAGAACAAAAUUCAGUUGUAGAAAGAAAGCACCAACACAUAUUAAACGUAGCCAGAACUCUAAUGUUUCAAUCCACUCUCUUUAUGGGGUGACUGUGUUCUCACAACUAUUUUUCUUAUCAACAGGACUCCAUCACAGUUGCUUUCUAACAAGACACCUUAUGAGAUUCUUACUGGUUCAGUUCCUCAAUAUGAGCAGCUUCGUACUUUUGGUUGUUUGUGCUACAGUUCUACAUCACCAAAACAGAGACACAAGUUUCAACCGACAUCAAGAGCUUGUUUGUUUCUUGGAUAUCCUUCUGGAUACAAAGGUUACAAAUUAAUGGAUUUGGAGAGUAAUACGGUUUUCAUCUCUAGAAAUGUGAUAUUUCAUGAAGAAAUUUUCCCAUUGGUUAAAGAUCCAAGAUCAGAGAGUUCUUUGGAGUUAUUCACACCAAUGGUUCCUGUGUCUUCAGGUACUCAUCAUUCUCCUCUCUCUUCUCUUUCAUCAAAAAUUUCUGAUCUACCACCACAAAUUUCUUCUUAGAGAGUUAGGAAACCACCUGCUCAUCUGAUAGAUUAUGACUGUAACAUUAUACAGUCUAAUCAUAAAUAUACUAUUUUCUUUACACUUUCUUAUUCUAAAAUUUCUCCAUCUCAUAUGUGUUAUAUAUAUCAAUAAUAUCACAAAAAUUCCUAUCCCACCAUUUAUGCUGAGGCACAGGACACCAAAGAAUGGUGUGAGGCGGUUGAUGCUGAGAUUGGUGCUAUGGAAUCUACUAACACUUGGGAGAUUACUACAUUACCACCAGGAAAGAAAGCAGUAGGUUGUAAAUGGGUAUUCACAUUGAAAUUUUUGGCUGAUGGUAGUCUUGAAAGAUAUAAGGCUAGAUUGGUUGGAAAAGGUUAUACUCAGAAAGAAGGUUUGGAUUAUACUGACACAUUUUCUCCAGUUGCUAAGAUGACCACAAUCAAGUUGUUGUUGAAAGUUUCAGCUUCUAAGAAAUGGUUUUUUAAGCAGUUGGAUGUGUCUAAUGCGUUUUUGAAUGGAGAAUUGGAAGAAGAGAUAUUCAUGAAGUUGCCUGAAGGUUAUGCAGCAAGAAAAGGUCUGCAAUUACCAUCAAAUGCUGUUUGUAAGUUGAAAAGAUCCAUUUAUGGUCUUAAACAAGCUUCUAGACAGUGGUUUAAGAAGUUUUCUGCAUCACUUAUCAGUUUGGGUUUUAAAAAGACUCAUGGUGAUCAUACUCUAUUUCUCAAAGAGUAUGAAGGUGACUUUGUUAUUGUCUUAGUCUAUGUUGAUGAUAUUGUGAUAGCUAGCACAAGUGAGACUGCGGCAACACAAUUGACUGAUGACUUGAAGUUGAGAUUUAAGCUGAGGGAUCUUGGUGAUUUGAAAUAUUUUUUGGGGCUUGAGGUUGCUAGGACGACUGCAGGAAUUUCAAUAUUAUGCCAAAGAAAGUAUGCUUUGGAAUUAUUGCAGUCUACUGGUAUGCUUAAUUGUAAGCCGGUUUCAGUACCAAUGAUUCCUAAUGUGAAAAUGAUGAAAGAAGAUGGUGAUUUGCUAGAAGAUAAAGAGCAAUAUCGCAGAAUUGUUGGAAAAUUGAUGUAUCUGACAAUCACAAGGCCAAAUAUCACUUUUGCGGUUAACAAGUUAUGCCAAUUCUCUUCUGCUCCUAGAACUACUCAUCUUGCUGGAGCUUACAGAGUUUUGCAGUAUAUCAAAGGAACAGUUGGACAUGGAUUAUUUUACUCUGCUUCCCCUGAUCUCACUUUAAAGGGGUUUGCAGACUCUGAUUGGGCUUCUUGUUCUGAUAAUCGCCGUUCUACUACUGGUUUCUCAAUGUUUGUAGGGGAUUCUUUGAUAUCUUGGCGAUCAAAGAAGCAACAUACAGUGUCAAGAUCCUCUACAGAAGCUGAGUACAGAGCUUUAGCUUUGGCAACUUGUGAGAUAGUCUGGUUGUACACUCUACUUACCUCUUUGAAGACUUCUCCAACGGUACCUAUCCUCUUUUCAGACAGUACUGCAGCAAUAUAUAUUGUUGAACCCGAACCCCCAGGGUUGGUAACAUCAUGUAAAAGAUGGGACAAAGUUCUCAUAAGACAAGCAGAAAGAUGAGUUGAAUAGAUCGUAUAAAUUUGUGGAGUAAAUAAUAUAAAUUUUGUUAUAGCUGGACUCGAGAGACGAGCUGCCUACGUACCCGAAGCGGUAUCAAGCCAAAACGUAGUUCGAUUACAACAAAGAGAAUGUAUUUAGUCAUUAUUAUGAAUGACAUUGUUUGUGUCUAAAUAAUGGUGAGAAAUGUAGAAGAUGAAUCUUGUGUAGAAAAAUGUGAGUCACCUUUCUUGGAGUCUGCACCUCUCUUUUAUAGCCUCUUCCUCCCUUCUAGGGUGUCUUUACUUGGUCAUUAAAUUCAGAAUUAACUCCAUAAAAUAACUCCAAUUUUUGGCAAUUAACUCUUAGUCUUGAAUGACAAACUUUAUUCCUUUGACAAUGACAAUUAAUUCAUGUAUUUAAUCACGAAUUAAUGUCAAGGUUUGACCACCCCCUUUUCCAAGAUAGGGCUCCUUGGACUUUGUAAAGUGAUGGUUUUCCAACAUGUAAAAUGGACCCCUUGCGGGAUCCGGUACCAACAUAUAUUGCCACUAAUCCAGUCUUCCAUGAGGGAACCAAACACAUUGAAAUUGAUUGUCACACAGUUAGGGAGAGACUGGACAAUGGUGAAAUCAAGCUACUUCAUGUGAGAACUGAUGACCAAGUAGCUGAUAUUUUGACUAAACCAUUGUUUCCUCAUCAAUUUGAGCAUCUUAAAUCCAAGAUGAACAUUCUAAACAUUUUUGAAUGCUCAUCUUGAGGAGGCAUAUCAGAUUCUAUAUCUUGGUUUAGUAGGUUUAGUUAUUUGGUUUAACUUAACCAAUUGUAUAGCUAUAGUAUAAAUACUCUUGUAAAGUGAUGAUUAUACAAUAAUGAGAAAGUCAACAUUUGAAAACUCUAACAAACUAUUCUCAUCUACCCGAGGAAGAGGGAAGCAAGCAAAGCUUGCCCCGGAUCGUAGGAUCUCCUUCUUCGUAACAAUUAUAUCUCUUUUACAUUCAAAAGAUUGACAGUGAUUGUAAUUUACAAUUUUUAUGUUAAAUAAUUACCAAUAAAUAAUAUUACCAAUAAAUAAUUUGCUAGUUUUUCUUUUAGCAAUUCAGUUACCAACCAUAUGGUAAUGAUUUUCCCACCAAUGGAACAAAAUAUGUUCUAAAAUGAAAAAAAAACAGUAAGUUGCUAUUCAUAUGCUACAAAUCAGUAUUAUUUACAUACAUUUGUUUUAUAGUUUCUACUAUAUUAUCUAUAAUUUUCCAAAUAAUGGUCUUUUAAAUAUUUCUGAAUUUUGAUUACAAACACAAAAAGUCGUAUACUUAAGAGAAAUUGUUAAAAAUGCCCUUUUUUCAAUACCCCUUUUCAAAAAUGCCCCCUUUGAGAUUUCAUUUUUAAGUUUGCCCUCUUUUAAUUUUUAAUGACCAUUUUACCCUUAUUUGAAACAAAAUUAGGUCCACCAAAUACAAAAUAUUUUUUGGCGGGAAAAGUGAUCCCGCAAUUUUUCCGCCAAAACACUUGUAAAAACCUUUAAAAUACCUUGUAAAAUUUUUCCGUAAAAAAUUUUCCCGCCAAAUAUUUUUUUUGCGGGAAAAGUGAUUCCGCAAUUUUUUUGGCGGGAAAAUUUUUGGCGGAAAAAAUUUACAAGGUAUUUUAAAAGUUUUACGGAGUAUUUACAAAUGUUUUGUAAGGUUUUACAAUGUAUUUUAAAAAGUUUUACAAGGUACUUAUAAGGUUUUAUAAGGUAUUUAUAACUUGUAAAAUCUUAUAAUAUCUUAUAAAUACGUUGUAAAACCUUUUAAAAUACAUUGUAAAACCUUAUAAAUACCCUGUAAAAAAGCUUUAAAAUACCUUGUAAAUUUUUUCCGCUAAAAAUUUAACGCCAAAAAAAUUGCGGAAUCACUUUUUCCGCAAAAAAAAAAUUUUGGCGGGAAAAAAUUUUACGGGAAAAUUUUACAAGGUAUUUUAAAGGUUUUACAAGUUUUUACAAGUGUUUUGGCGGGAAAAAUUGCGGGAUCAGUUUUCCCGCCAAAAAAUAUUUUGUAUUUUAUGGACCUAAUUUUGUUAUAUUUCCUUAUAUAUUUGUGAUAUCUUUUAUUAUAAAAAGCGUAAUUUAGUCAUUUUGUACAUAAAAAAGGGUAUUUUUAAAAAUGGACAGCCAAAAGGGAUAUUUUUGAAAAGGGAUAUUGAAAAAGGGACAUUUUUGUGAGUCUCCCUAUCUUUAAAAUGACAUAAAAUUUAAAUGAAAAAAAAAAAACUGAAAUUAAAAUUUAAAUAAUGUAUUUAAAUGGUGCAGAUGCAAAACUAUGGUUGAAUAUUUUGGGAUAUGUGAGCCACAACAAUAAGCUAGUGCGUCUAAUGCCCCACCAAAUAUGGUGAAGCGAUAGGCAGCCGGCCCUCUUCCCCGUUCCUCGCUUCAUUUUAUUUUAUUUGGUUUGUAUUUACUUGUUUUUUGUUUUGUUUAGACGGUUCGUUGUGGCUACUUUUGAACCUAUGGUUUAGGAUUUUAAUGAAAAUUUUCUCUAAAAUUCAUAUUCACUUUUGUUAUGCCCUAAUGGUCUGGAUAGACAUCAUUAUCCGAAAUCAUAAUAUUCGAAUACCAAUAUUACCAAAUUCACACAUACAUGCAUAUAUAUGUUUUCUUUUUCUUUUUCUUUUUCUUAAAGUCCCAAACUUACACGAAAUUCCAGACUAAUCGCUAGAAUGUCUGUCAAAAAGAAAAACAAAAUGGUUAAUAUGUGGAGUAUUAUGUAUUCUUGUCAUUUAGAGAUUCAUGGUGACCAACCAAUGGUUAAAUACAGUUGGAGGACUCGAACUCUUUUGGCUCAAUCAACACUAUGAUAAAUCUUUCAACCAUUGCACCACCAUAAAAAUUUUAACUAAUAUAUGUAGUUUAUAUUUGUAUAAAAUACUUGACACUCGUUUGGAGACAUUUGAUUACCUAGACAACUUGAUGCGUAGAGAAAGAUUUAAUGAGCAGGUGGAUGCAAUAACAUUUGACGGUGAGGUGGAUGAUAAUUCCUUUGUUUUCUGCCAAACUACUUAACAAACAUAAUCUUUGACGUCUCUUCCCUAAGUUUCGUUUUAUGAUUGUUUGGCUGUUAGGUGCAUUUAAGAAAUUCAUAAAGGUGACGACUACCGUAAAUCGUAAAUCGGGACAAUAAUAUUCAGAAAAAAAGUAAAAGAGACUUGUGGUGCGAUAUGAAAGUCGAUUUACAUAGAGUGUGAUGCCAAAACCGUGGACUGAAAUACCAAAAUUUUCGUCAUGUUUCUUCCAACGUCUUUGCCCUUUCCCUUAAUGGCUCUCUGCACGUUGCUAAUGCUAUCACAACUCUUUAUAACAUUGACUUGAUUAAAUUGUUAUGUGUUUUCGUUUACAUGUUCCAAAUUAAAGUCAUAGGAAACUAGCUAUCACUCGAAAAACCGUCUUCUCUUCAAACUAGAUUGCGUCUUACAAGAGAGAUUAACUUAGCUAAGGAAGAAUAACGAGCUCGGAGAGGAAGAUCGGAAGAUUUUAUCUUGUGUUUUGCUUUUUUUUUUUUAUGUUUUUGUAUCUAAUCUCAAUAUUAUUUACUUCCCAUCAAACGGUUUCCACUAUUUUUAGAAUAAUUAAAGAAUGUCAUGGACUAGGAUCAGAAAACUGAACAAAUCAAAUUUGUAUUAUCAAUAAUUUGGUCUUGAUUAUAGAAAAAACCAAGCCAAACCGGUGAACAUGUUAAAUCCACUUCGUUAUCGCUAAUUCCAAAAUAAGGUAAAAUUUUGAAGGUUUUGGUCCAAAAAGAAAAUGAUCAAAGUAAUUUUGGUCCAAACCAAAAAGAAAAUGAUCAAAGAAAACAUCUUAAUUUAUAAUGCAUAAUUUAAUAAAAUGUAAAAUUUUACAUCAGAUUUUAUUGUAAUUUAAAAUCAUAGAGUUACCGUGUUUUGUUUCCGGCUCUUUGAAGCCGAGAAAUCGUUUGAGUAUCCUAACCGUUUUACUAACUUGUGUAGAAUGUUUCAUGCCGACGAAACCAGAGGUUAUAAACUCAUUUUCAACGUUGCAAAGUCAAAUGACAAUGACUACUUAUCAACUUUCAGAAUUUCUCGUGGAUGUGUCUUCAACCCACCAUUACGUCGUUUGUAGCAAAAUGCUUUCUAGCUCAUGUGUUCGAGGUCAUAUGGAUCUAUAGUCGUUCUAUCUUACAUAUCUUUUGUUGCGUCGUUGAAUGAAUUUUCCUUUACUGUAUUGCUGAACUCCUAUUUAACCUUGUAUACCAUUUGAUCGUUUGAAUGAGAUGAAAUUGUUUGACCAAAAAAAAAUUAUCAUCAUUAAAUGUGAUCAUACCCGGUACCCGUAUCUAAAACUACUAAGUUAAUCACAACAAUAUAUUUAGAAAACAUACAUUACAUCAUUAUAUAUUUAUAAAUAAUCUGGUCUACUGUGUAAAUCAAACUUAAAACAAAGAAUACCAUAUAAAUGAUAUUCGUUAGUACAAGAAUCUCGGAACCAUUUGUUUUUUGGGUCGGUAUUCUUCAAGUGUUUGGGACAAUCUUACUCGACAAAUUCUGCAGAAUCGAUACACAACUAGCUAUGAUGAUCUCCUUUUGCUGAUCUCCGGAUCCACAUAUCCUUCCACUACAAGAUUUAUCCUUAGGUAUGUCUUCCAAGCUUCAGGUCACUCUAUUUGGCGUGAACGGAACUGUUGAAGGUGUGGCGACAUCCCAACUCACCCGGAGAAGCUUAUCAAACUCAUAGAUCGGUUGGUACGUAAUCGACUCUACUCCUUUACAAAACAUGCUAACUCUAAGUUCAAGAAUGGGUUGCAAAUUUGGUUUGUCUCGAGAAAUUUGGCAAGAGCUUAUAGAGUUCCAAACAAAAGUUCGGCUUUGAUUCAACUAUUUAUGUGGUUCCUUAUAAAAACUCUACUAAAAGAUGCAUUCACUGUAAACAAAGUUUUUGGUUGAAUAAAUUUUACAUUCAUUUAAAUAAUAAUAGUAAUGUAAGUUCAUUUCGUGUCCGGACAAAACGUGGACCAGCCACCUACGUAUAGUUCUGAUAUCUUGUGUUUUUGUUAGUUUUAUAGCUUUGUUUCUCUUAGUUUACCAUCAUUUUGCAUUCAUGUUUAGGUUAUUAGGUGCAUAUUUGCAUUGUAAUUCUUACUUCUAGGUUCAUGGAGUGGAUUAGAGUUUUGAUGGCAAUUGGAGCACAAUUGGGGUAAAAAGAAGUAAAUCAAGCAAAAAGGAACUAAAGGAGUAUGAAGAGAAGGAGAAGAAGAUGCAUCAGGUUUCUACAUCGACGUAUGGACCCUGAUGCGAGAUGUCCCAAAGACUCCGAAUGCAUUUUGUUGAUACAUAAGCCAUCUGCAUCAUCGUAUGUACCAUGUUGCGAGCCAAUUUACCCAAUGACCCGAAUUCGAAAACCGGAUCCGACCCGCCUGUGAUGGGUCGACCUGGUCCGUUUUAGGCUUCUAUUUAACUGAUUUUAUACCUAAUUUCUUAAGGUUUAGAGAUCAAAAACUUUUCUUAAGGUUUUUUUCUAAGUUUUUGUAUGAAUCCUUGGUUUGUUAAGUUUUGAAUCCAAGUUUCUCUUUUAAAUCUCUUAUCUACCUUCUUUAAUUAUGAUUUCACAAAGAUCAAACCUCUUGCUUUGUGUAAUCAUGAUCAUGAGUCGUUAGUCAUUUAGAGUUCUUGGGUUAAGGUAGAUUAGGAUGGUUUAGAUGUUGGGUUAUCGAGUUUAGGGUUAGAUUUUUUUAAGAUCCUUGCUUAUUGGUUGAUUAUAAAGCUAGAUUAACCUUGAUCAUAUUGAUUUAGACUUUAGAAAUUUCAUGCCCGUAAGGUGUUCGAUGAAAUUCUCGAACCAAAACCUUUAAGUGUUUUACAUUCCUUACCUUUGAAAAGUGUUGACUAGGAUGUUUAGUGGCUAGAUAGACUUGUUUAUAAUGCUUGUUAGUCAAUUGAUUGCCUUUAGAAGAAGUUGAUGAUUAAUUAAUUAGUAAAUGGACUAAUGUCAUGGAAAUCUGUUAGUGUUGCUUAGUGUUCUAUGACCUAAGGAUCAUUGUUUAUUAGAAGUUGUUUGAAGCUCCAUAAUCCAUCUUUUUAUCAUUCCAAAUCAAUUCUCUUUAACCCGAGAAUUUGCCCUUUAAUUAUCGCUUAGUAACUUUAUUUUCCGCUUUGUUUACUUUCGAAUCUUGUUAGUCUUUUACAUUUUACUUCCAUUUGUCUUGUUUUACAUUGUUUAGUCUAAAUUACAUUGUUAGUCAAAUUUAGAAAACCAAAUCAUCUUGUUAGCCUAAAUUAAGCUAUUGCGUGUAUUUCUAGUGAGUUGAUUAAUUGCAAAUUGUGGUUCGAUAUUUAAUCGAGUAAAAUACUACAUCAAGUUCAAAGUUCAAACCCAAUUCCUAAAAUUAUUUUAACAUUCGAAAGUAUUUUUUUAAGUACCAGUUCAAUAACGUUGACCUUUAUGAAACAUGUACACAUAUUAUAUUCAAUAACAUAUGGUUCUAUAAGAAAAUAUUGUAUUCAUGACCGAUAAACAUGAGAUUUGUCAUUUGAACACAAAUGAUUGCAAAUGCUUUAUUAUACUGUACACAUAUCUUCAUUUAAAGCUGUUAGGUUUUUUUAGUUAUUAUAUUAAUAGCCUAAUUAGCUUUACAGUUUUAGUCCGUUAUUAUUGAUAUAUAAUUAAUGAAUUUGUGAUUUUAAGUGUCUUGUUUUCAGAAUUUGUUUUGAAGAUUUAACGAUCAUAAAGAACUUGUUGUCCAAAUUUUCUUAGAAAUCAACGCACUACUAGUUUUGUGUCAUUUCUGCUCUACUAUACCGCCAUCUAGUUUUGUAUAAUCACUUUUACCAAAAAUUAUGAAGUAACUAUUUUUGUUAUUUCUUAUAAAAACAGUAACGUUAUCUAUGUAUGUGCCACGAUGUUUUACAACCAUUUUUUAACUAUUUAGAUUAUCUAUUAUCAUUUUUUUCUUUAAAAAAAGACCUUAUAACUUUAUAUCGACAGCAUAUGCGAUGCGAACAUUCGACAACGUGUACAUUUAGGAAUCACAACGAAUGAGUAGAUAAAAAGUGGGAUCACCUUGGCACAAAUAUUUCCGAUUGACUUUUAUAUAGUGGAAGUCAAAAUCACUACGACCCAUAUAAAAUAAAUGAGAUUGACAUACAUAUAAUAUAAGAUACACAAUGUAUGUAGGUUUUGUUAAAAAAAAAACAAAAGACAAUGUAUGUAGUAUAUAGGAUGGGUGUGAAUCGCACCUGAAACAUGUUCUCAUCAUUCAAAUAUGGAUACUAUAGUUUAUUUAACUCAUAGGAUAGUUUGUUUUACAAUAUCAAUACCUUACCGGAACAGCAUCUUUUUACUUUACACAAAUAUAAUUACAUGAAUUUCGAAAAAGUAAUUUUAGUCAAAUUAUUGUUUAACGGUACAUUUAUACGGCCUUUUCUACCGGAAUUCAACAGUUUGCUUUACAAAUAUCUAGAUCUUCUACGAUAUGGACAACAUGUUGAUACAUAUAUUCAAACAAUAUUUUGGAUAAAUAUAAGUGAAACAGUAUGCAGAUAAAAUAUGAUUUAAUAAAGUGUUACAUAUCAUGGAGAGGAAGUUAGUGGCAUACCGAACACAUGCAAAAUAAUAAGAAAGAUGUAGGCCACUUUCACUCAAUUAUAAUGUAUUAUGGAAGAACAAAUGAAAUUUUAAUAAUGGAGGAAAAGAAUAUAUAACUGAACUUUCUUGGAUAUGCAUAUUUGUAUGAAUUAAGAUAUUAUUAUCAAUGGAGAGAUAUGGGUACGCGUGUGACUUUGUCUCCAAAUAUUUUCUUAUGGCAGACUGGCAAAUUAUUAGACCGUUUCUACAAACUUUACUGGUGAAAAAACAACCCAUGAGAACUAUAUAAAAAAGUUCCCUAUCAAAUAACAUUCAUGAUUGCUACGUUCAGUUUUCAGAAAUCGUUUAAAGAAUUAUAGAUUAAAAACACUUAGGAGUUAAAGAACUCAAAACAGAAGAAAUCAAGUUAAACUGAACACAUUCUCUUUUUCCGCUAGCAAAUCAACGGGAAUGUAAAAUCUGGUUUUCAGUUGUAUAAUAUUGGUUAAUUUUCUAGAAUUUUGUGGUUUAGUUAUAGCAAGUUUUAAACAUAAGUGGAUACACUACAAAAAAAUAAGUAUAUUGUAUCACUUAAAUUGAAUCACAAAACUAAAUGAUAUUAUUUUAUAUUACUUAUAUAUAAAUGAAGCAAAUAUAUAUGGUUUAGCAUCAAUUAUAUUAACUGAUGUUAUAAUUAAUUAAUUUUACAUCAAUUAAAUAAAAUUGAUUUAAUUUCUAUUGGUUUGUAUCAUUUUUAAAAAAAUGAUAUAAAAUAUAAAUUUAUAUCAUUUAGAUAACUGAUGUAUUUAUUAAUUUUUGAUGAGAUCACUUCUGAAAAUGAUACAAAAAUUUACAUCAAUAAAAAUUGAUGUUAAAAUAAAUUUAAUAAAUAUUUAAUUUUUAGAGAAGAAGGUAACGUAAGAAAAAAAAAAGCAAUAGUGAAAACUUUUCAUUGGCUAGUCCAUAAUAACUAGGAUUGAACUUUGGUUUGUUAUCCACCAUUGAUAAAUUAAAUUCAAUGGUUGAGAUCUUCUCCUUUAUUUAUUUUUUUUUUGUUAAAACUUCUCCUCUUUUCUUAUUUUUUUUUCUCCUUCUCUUUCUCCUUCGUAACCUCUUCUCCUUCAUAACCUCUUCUCCUUCAUCUAGUUUCACCAUAGAAGUUGUGUGGUGAUUAGGGUCGGCGUGUUUGACGAAUACAUCUCCGACGACGACAAAUCGUGGUAGAUCCGGUGAAACGAGAUGGAGCGAGGGCUGAAAAAAUGACGAGGAAGUGUUUUUCAUAGUUUGGUACGUACAUGUGGUUCUUCGACGAGGACAAUGGAGGACGUGAUGGUGGGCUUUUGUUGAGCCACUUCAGAAGGCUUUUAUGUCUAGCUUCGCGACGGAGUUGGCAUGCGGAUCUGUGGGUUUCGCUGCACGUCAAGAGAAGGUAGAAGGCUAGAAGCCAUGGAAGGUGGCCGACGUAGGCAGCGGUGACGACAUAACAACUACCAAGCUAGGGUUUUUGGUUUGGUUGGUUUGAUCCGGUUAACACAUUACAUUGUAAACCAACUCUCAUUAUGUAAACCGGAACAAACCCGGUUUGGGAAGAUUAAUGAAAAAUAAAUAAACUGUCUUUUAUUUAAUCUAAUUUAAUAAAAACAUUUUAUUUUAAAUCAAUUCGUUAAUUACUAGUAAAUCGCACAAUUGAUUAAUUAUGUAAUUUCUUUUAAAAAUAUAUUUAUUAUUAAUUAUAGUAAAUAUAUUCGUAAUUGAUCAAUUAUUUUGUUUUGAUUUUAAAAUCAUAAUAAAAUAUGCCUCUUUACAAAUGAUGUAAAUAUAGUGUCAAUCACGUAAUAAUAUUUACAUCAAUUAUUUUAAACGAUACAAAUACUAGCAUCACUUAUACAAAGUGAUUUAAAUAAUUAACAUCAUUUUUUAUAAUUGAUACAAAAUUAACGUCAUUUAUUGUAACUGAUACAAAUAUUAUGUACAAUUACAUCAGUUUUAAAUAAAAUGAUAUGAAUUAUUUGCAUCAACACUUUCAGAGUCAUUUGUUUAAAUGAUGCAAAAGAAUUUUGCAUCAAUUAUAAGUAAUACCAAAAUUAAAAAUAAAUGAUACAAAAUGAUCUUUUUUUUUGUAGUGAUAUCUGGCGAUUUAUAAGAAUUUAGAGAGAUAUAGUAUCCCAAUAGUACUUCUAAAAGAGUUUUUAAAAAAUUAAUGGUAGAAAAACUUGGUGAAUAUAAUUUCAAUGUCUCAUACCAAUAACGCAAAAUUAUGCGAAAUAUAUAAGAUCUAUAAACCAAUCACAAUAGAAUCUUUAAACUUAGAAAGAAAAGAAAACAAAAAACAUUCUAAGUAGAAUAGAGUUCAUAAAAGAACAUAUCUAACUUGAACCAUAAACAGAAACUAGCUACCACAUUAGGCUACUAGCCAUCGUCGCUGUGGAAGUCGAAACUAACACAAUCGAGAUUUGUCUAGGGUUUUAAUUCAGGGAUACGACUUGCGAGAAUUCUCAAAGAACAACAGAAUCAAUCGAUACCAAAGAUGGUGUGCUUGGUAUUAUUAAGAAAAAGAUAGCUUUGAUCGUACAAGAGUUUGAUCGUAAAAAAAAAAGUGUUUGCGCUUUGAGAGCUUUGUGUAGUCUGAAUUCUAGAGCGAUAUUGCUUGCCCCUCUAUGAGAGCCUUGAGUCUCUUUAUAUAGUGAUGAUAAACCGCCUCUCCAGCGAUAUUCUCGGAAGAUUUUCAUUUAUCUUGAAGUCGGCUUAGAAUAUCGUGGAUUAGGAUAGUUUCCUUAUUCUUCGGGGUUUUCGGAAGUUUUUCUGAUUUGAAUUGAUCCUUCGAGAUUUUCCCUUAUCAUUUCCGGAUAUAUCGGAAAUGAUCCUUCUUUUUCGGAAAUGGUGGCUUGCUUGGAAAUGGUACUUCAAGGGUAAAUAUUUUAUCAAGUCUUUGCUUCGGGUGAUGAUGAAGACUUCGCCUCGGAGAACUUGUGCAAUCGGCUCGGGUACCCAGGAAGGGCUGGUUCGGGUACCCCGAGGUGAUGGGCUCGGGUACCCCGAGACGACUGGGCUCGGGUACCUCAAGAUGACUUGUUCGGGUACCCCGAGGUGAUGGGCUCGGGUACCCCGAGACGACAGGGCUCGGGUACCCCAAGAUGACUUGUUCGGGUACCCCGAGGUGAUGGGCUCGGGUACCCUGAGACGACUGGGCUCGGGUACCCGAGCUGGCAGGACACCCUAAACUGAUUAGAUGGAUAACCCGAGGUGGAUGAUGCGACGCCCCGAGGUGAUCUCUGAAAAGUUUCCCGAGGCGCUCUAAGUCUGGCUCGGCGCCAAAGGAUGGAAUCCGACCCCAACAGUCGCAUGAUGUCGUAUACACUUAUGAAUCAUAUGUCAGUUAUGAUGAAACAUGUCCUCGAUCGUAUCGUCAUGCUAUUCCACGUUGAAGACUUUUCUUCAAUUAACAGGAGUAAUAUUUAGACUUGUAUAGUAUCAGGUUAGGACCAUGCAAUCAAUUAGGUUAUGACAAAAGUCAAAUAUAAUGAGCAAUUUGUUCCUGUUCUCUAUGCCGCUAAAUAAAUCACCGGGGCCGGACGGGUUUACAGUGGAGUUUUUUAUAGCUGCUUGGUUGAUACUGGGAAAAGAUUUUGUUGUUGCGAUUCAGUCUUUCUUUCUAAAAGAGUUUCUUCCUAAGGGAGUAAAUACAACGAUCCUAGCAUUACUACCAAAGAAAGCUGACGCGCGGUCUAUGAAGGAUUACCGCCCAAUCUCCUGCUGCAAUGUUAUGUAUAAAUAUCAGGAAGAAUCGAGAGAGAAUUUGUUUGAUUGAUACAUAUCUUUGUUUUCCACUAUAUCUUUUUUCCCAUACUUAAAUUUAAUUAAAUGCUUGCAUCUAAUUAUACAAGUUUGACUUCUCUUUUUCUAGGCCUGGGCAAUCGGUUUACUCGGAUUAUUCGGUUCGGUUUGUUCGGUUUUUCAUUUUUUCGGUUAUUUGAAAAAGCUGCCGAAUUGACCCGAAUAAAAAUUCGGUUCGGGUCGGUUCGGUAUUCGGGUUUUUCGGUUCGGUUACAUGCCAUAAAAUUGAUUCCGAAUUGAACCGAAUUUCUUAUUUUUUCCGGUUAAUUCGGUUAACCGAAAAAAGUUUACAAGCAAAUUAACUAAUUUACAUGCCCAAAACAAAUUACAAAGCCCAAAUUUUUCGGUAGGUGAGGUUGCAAACUAGACGGUGACAGUAAUGUUUUGCCGUUCGAUCUUGCCGCCGCAUGAUGAGACCUGUUUCAAACAACUACAAAUACCACAAAUACUGAGAAUCACAAGUCAUCUCUUAUAUCCUUGCAGUUAACAAUAAUAUAAUCCAAAUUCUUAUGCUAGAAAACUAUAUUAUUCUAACUUCAAUUUUCAUCACGAGAACAAAGAUCCAGAAAGUUUUACUUAACAAAAAGAUAUCAUCUCCCCCACAAAAUGUGAGUCAAGUCCUACACAAGCGCAUAAUUGAGAAAUCAAAAAAGAAAGAAGAAGCAAUGGAGGAAGAGGUCGUUACCUUACUUAGAAAUAGAUGCGGCUGCAACUGGAAGAACAUUAGGCAUAGAGACUAGGGUUUUGGCUUUUAUCUAAUAGGUUGUGGGCUAAUGGGCUCUAUAACAAUUAUUAAGCGAGGCCCAAAUAACUUUCCAAACAUAUAUUUUUAUUAAAUAAGCCCAUAUUGCACAAACAAAACACAUCUAACCCUAGUCCAUCGUCUUCUUUAAUCAUGGCCGACGCUGAAAUAUCUCAUCAUCCUCGUUUCCGACGAGAUCUUCUUCAGGGGUCAUGGAAUCAUGGAGAUGAUGGAAGAAAACCGAAGAACCGUUCGGUUAUGGCUUGCCGAACCGAACCGAAUCAAUAACCGAAAUCCCUAAGUUUUUUUGCCGAUCGGUUCAUUGCUCUUCUCAGGCUCGGCACCGAGAACCGAAAAACUCGGUUCUUUCGGUUCGGUUUUCUCGGUUCCUGCCGAAUGCCCAGGCCUAUCUUUUUCAGAUGUUCUCCACUACAUAACCCUUAGAUCUCUUAUAUGAUAUGGGUGCUGUGGUUGUGGCCUUGUGGGCGUCCUUGUCCUAAAUUGGACGAACCCUACCACCUUUAAAGAACAAUCAUUUAUUUGAAUUAUCCUCGUUAUAGUGAAUGUAGAUUUGUAAAUGCUCAGUUACAUGGAUCAUUGAAAUCUUGAUGUGACAGAUCCUUAUCUACAAACUUUACACGAAAAUAUGUUAAAAUUAAGGAAAUAAAAUAAAAUUAAUUGAAAAUCUUAGUAAUGGUUUAGAUUGUACUAAUUUCUUGUUGAAAAUGUUAAAUUGAGAAACCCAUUACCCGAUUAGUUUAUAUGUCAUUUACUAAAGAACAUUUUUUAUAAAUAACACUAAAAUGACUUUUUGUUCUCAAAAAUACCACUAGAACUAGAUUUUAACCCGCGAUACACCGCGGAACCAUAUUUUAUAAAAAUUAGUAAUUUUUAAAAUUUAAUGGUUAUAUAAUAUAUAACCAAUUUGUGAAUUGUAUCAUUUUAUAAGAUAUUUAUAUUUUGUAGAUUAUAAUUGUUGUUAAGUAACGGUAUACCACAAGACAAUUUUUGUUUUAUAAAAUUUAAUAUAUCAGGAUCAUUCGAUCUGUCUAAUAUUGAUGGUAUUAAAAAAGUAAUAAAAUGAAGAUUAAACCGUAUUAAAACAGAGGGUUAAUGAUGUUUUAAAGUUUUUUUAUUCAAACUCGUCCCGUCAUAUAACUCCGUCCUGCAAUAGAACCGUCCCAUGUUAUUUUAACUUUUUAUAUAUGUUCAAAUGUUCUUAUAUUAUAACUUUUUAUUGAUUUUAAAUAUAUGAAUUAUAAUAUUUAAAACUUCUUAAAAACUCGUCACGUUAUAUAACUUUGUCUACCAAUAUAACCCGUCUAGUGUUAUUGUAACUCUUUAUAUAUGUUUUCAUAAUGUUAUAAACUUCUUAUUGAUUUUAAAUAUAUGAAUUAUAUUAUUUAAAACUUUUUAAAAGUUUAAAAUUUAACAUUUCUAGUAAAAUUAAGCAGUUAAACAAAAAACCUGAAUGAAACGGUAUAUAAUUUUAAAUUUGGAUGCUUAUUAAGUUGAGCUUCUUGUUCAUUUAGAUUUGGAUUCAUUUUGAUUUUAUUUAUAAUAUAAUUAUGAAUCAAUAUCUAAACAUUUUAGCCGAUAUGGGACGUUGAACUCACAUCUUUUUCAUCAAUUGGAUAAUAUAUACCUGUUUUAAAAAUUUCGAAUCCCAAUAUACGCAGAAAAAAAUUGAACUUUUUUUUUAAGUUUAAGUAUUAUAUGACGAUUCGAAACAGUUAAAAAAUGUUCAAACAAAGAUGAUAGGAGAAUUGUAUUUCUAAAUCUUAACCAAAUCUUCUAAAUAUCUAUAUUUUUAAAUAUGGAAUAUCUGGUUCAUAAUUUCCGAUAUGUUUUGACGAGAUCCAAUAAAGAUAUGAACUAUCUGGUGUAAAAUUUAUGAAAAGAAAUUUUAUCGGGUCGGAUACCAAAUUUGUCGGAUAAAAAUUUAACACCCGCUAAAAUUGUACUUCAAAAUUACUAGUAUAUAUAUAAUUUUUCCUAAAUACUACAAAACCAAAAAUAAGCUUUAAACCUUUAAAGUAAAUCCUAAACUCUAAAAUCAACCCUAAAUCCUAAACACAAAAUACUAAACCUAAACUUUUAAAUUAUAUAUAAGCCCUUUAAAUUGUUGUUUUUUUCUUAUGAAAUGUGUAGCUGAUUGAUCAACUUAUCAAAUACAUACAAAAGUAUUUGCUCCUAUGCUUUGAAGGGAGACAUAAAUAGCACUAAUUAAACCCAAGCAAAGAAUGAAAAAAUAGCACUAAUUAAAGAGGGAAUAAUGUGUCCCCGUUCAUUUGCUUCCCGCCCAUGAAGGUGAUGUCUCAAAACACACCAAUGGACUAGUCUGGCCCGUUUAUCAACUCAAUUUCUUUAACAAAAAUUUUUUCAUAUGAGAAAAAGUACAGUUUCUUUAACCUUUCUCCCAUCAAUUUGUUGUGGGUAAUGGACAACUAGUCUGGCCUUUUGUGGUUCAUUGGUGUGGUUUGAACGACAAAAAACAAAGAUGAUAUCUAAUAAAAGUACCAAAUUAACCAAUUUAUAUUUUAGUGACGGUUUAAUAUUUUAUUAACUAGGUUAUGAACCCCCGCGAUAUCACGGAGGAACUCAUUUUCAACAAAUAUAUGUUAUUGUGUUUAUGUAUUAAAUUAUUAUGAUAAUAUAUUCAAAUAUUUGAAUUAUUACAUAAAAUUAAAUAUGUCUUAAAGUUAUAUCGUAAAUAUUUUCCAAACACGUUAAAAGAAUUUAUGAAUAAAAAUGUAAAAUAGAAGAAUUAUGAUUAAAAACACUUUUGAAACAUUUUUAUGAAUACACAAUUAUUUAUAAGUGAUAAAAUACAUAACGAAGAGUUAAAAUAUAGAGAUGAGAAAUUCUAACGGAUCAAAACCAAAAAGACAUAAAAAAAACCAACUGGAAAAUAACCAUCAACGAAAAAAGUAACCGUUAAUAUUUUAACGAAGAGUUGCGAAAAGAGACAUAACCAAAAGAAGUAAUAGUCAAUAUUUUGAUGGAAAGUUACGAUAAAAAGACACAACCGAGAAAAAAUAACUGUCAAUAUUUUAACGGAAAGUUGCGAUAAAAAGACAAAACCAAAAAAAGUAACUAUCAAUAUUUUAACGAAAAGUUACGAUAAAAAGACACCUCCGAAAAAAUAACGUCAACGAAAACUGAAACCGUAAAUAUUUUAACGAAGAGUUGUAAUAAAUAGACAUAACCAGAAAAAAUAACCGUCAAUAUUUUAACGGAAAGUUGCGAUAAAAAGAGACAACGUGAUAUGAGCUUUGGCUAAAAGUCUUGAGCCAAAUUAGGGGUGAGUCACUAGCCGGUCUAAGGACCUCUCUAACUAACUCGGAUAAGAUGGAGAUGGAGGAUGGAUCGAUAAGAACCACAAUAGAUGUGAAAGUCUAUUGAUACUUCUUAGAACACUCAAGAAUUCGGACACACUCACGAAUUAGAGAGCAAAAGAUUUUGUGAAACACAAACAAGCAAUUUUAUUAAUCCAAGGUGAAAAAAUAAGGACUACAACUCAAUGCAUUAUAUAACCAGGUUCAUAACUUAUUCUAAGAGAAAAACACAUAAAUCCUGCAAGAAAAACAAGGAAAGACAUAGCACAAAAAUCAAGAAAAUAAAGGAAAGAGAUGUUGGUAAUAAAAGAGAAUAUUAAGGGUGCCGAUUAAGGUAAGUUUGUUCUCUUGACUUUAAAACAUGAUUCUUCUUUGGUCUUGGAGUCUUCUGGACGAAAUGAGAGCCUUCUUAGAUGCCUUCUAGCACCAAAGAACACGUGGUUAAGUGGACUUCAAGUUUGGGGGUGAAUAAAGCCCAUUUGGCCUCAUUGUUUAUUAGAGAGUCCACCAGACAGACAUUUUCUGUUCGGCCCAUAUCUGGAUAUUUAUAGCUGAUCUCUGGAAGCUCUUUGGUUCUCUGGAAAGUAGACUCAGAGAGCUUCAAUUUGGUAUGUGGCUCGUCUCCUGGAUCAUCCGGAAUCGUUGGUGGUACUUCGUUUAAAACGGCCUUUAGCUGGGAGCUCUCGGAUGAAGUUAGGCGAAUGGCUUCAAACUGAUCUAGAGGGAUCAGUCCUUCACGUUCCAGCUGUUCCACGAAGAUGUUAAACUUCUUCUCUAGGCCUUUGCUCCUGGUCCUAGUCAUUGGGCCGCUUGGUACAUAGGGAGCUUGAAUAAUAUGACUUGGUGGUUCGAUGUCCUCAUCACUCCCUCCCUCUUCAUGUGGUUUUGACCCGAAAACGUUUUCUCCUGUAUCAAAACGAGCCAGGUCAUAAACAUUGAAAGUUGUUGAAACUUUGAACUCACUUGGAAGAUCUAGCUUGUAGGCAUUGUCGUUGAUCUUCUCCAAAAUUUUGAAUGGUCCAUCUCCUCGGGGUGAAAGUUUAGAGCUCCUUUGGUUGGGGAAUCUCUCUGGUCGCAUGUGUAGCCACACUCAUUCUCUUACUUCAAAAAUAACUUGUUUCCGACCCUUGUUGGCUGCUUUAACUCGUUGCUCAUUCGUUUUCUCAAGUCUCUCCUUAACCUUUAAAUGGAGCUUCUUGAUUUGAUCGGCCUUCUUUUCGCCAUCUAAGUCUAAGAAGUCUUUUUGUCGAAGUGGUGUGAGAUCCAAAGGCGUAUUGGGAUUGAAUCCGUAGACCACCUGAAAUGGAGACAUUAAUGUUGCACUAUGGAUAGCUCUAUUAUAAGCAAAUUCAACAAAAGGUAAGGCAUCAAGCCAAUUUUUAAGAUUUCUCCCUAUUGUUGCUCGUAGAAGUGUUCCAAGCGUGCGGUUGACAACUUCGGUUUGGCCAUCAGUUUGCGGGUGGCACGUGGUUGAGAAUAGUAGUUUGGUGCCUAAUUUCUUCCACAAUGUCCUCCAAAAGUGGCCGAGAAAUUUGGUGUCUCUAUCUGACACAAUAGUCCUUGGAAUGCCAUGUAAUCUAACAACUUCUUUAAAGAAGAGAUCCGCGGUUUGGGUAGCAUCGUUGGUCUUAGCACAUGGUAUGAAGUGAGCCAUCUUGGAAAAACGGUCCACUACGACAAAUAUUGAGUCCUUGUGCCGGAUUUUGGGCAAACCUAGCACAAAAUCCAUGGAAAUAUCAACCCAAGGAGAAGUAGGAAUCGGUAAGGGAAGAUACAAACCGUGGGGUUGGACUCUAGACUUUGCUUUCUUGCAAGUAAUACAUCUCGCAAUGAAAGUCUCCACUGAUUUCUUGAGAUGAGGCCAAAAGAAAUGUUCUUUGAGCAUGGCUAAAGUCUUCUCCACGCCAAAGUGACCCAUUAAUCCUCCUCCAUGAGCUUCUCGGACUAUAAGGUCCCUUAAAGAGCAUUGCGGGAUACAUAGCCGUUUAUCUUUGAAGAGAUAGCCAUUAUGAAUGUAGAACGACACGUGACCUCCCUUGCCUGGAUUCUUAUAGCUCUCUGCAAAGUCAGGAUCAGACUCAUAUAAAGGUAUAAUCAAUUCAAAACCAAGAACCUUAGCAUCCAUUGUAGAGAUGAGAGCAUGUCGUCUUGAGAGUGCAUCGGCUACUACAUUGUCUUUUCCCUUCUUGUAUUUGAUGACAUAGGGAAACGUCUCUAUGAACUCGAGCCACUUUGCAUGCCUUCUCUUCAGGUUAGUUUGACCUCUUAGAUGCUUCAAAGUCUCAUGAUCCGUAUGAAUUACACACUCCUUAGCGAGUAGAUAGUGUUGCCAAGUCUCCAUGGCGCGGACUAAGGCAUACAAUUCUUUGUCAUACGUAGGAUAGUUGAGUGUUGCUCCAUUGAGUUUCUCACUAAAAUAGGCUAUUGGUUUGCCUCCUUGAGUGAGUACAGCUCCAAUACCUAAUCCUGAUGCAUCACACUCAAUCUCAAAAGUGUUAGUGAAAUCCGGUAAAGCUAAAACCGGUGCAUUCGAUAACCGAUCCUUUAGAGCUGUAAAAGCCUGCUCCUGGGCUUCUCCCCACUCGAACUCCACGUCCUUUUUGAUCACAGCGGUGAGUGGUGCAACAAGGGUGCUGAAAUCCUUCACAAAUCUCCUAUAGAAACUAGCCAAGCCGUGGAAGCUUCUUACUUGACUAAUGUUGCUUGGUGUCGGCCAUUCUUGUAUGGCUUUGACUUUCUCUUCGUCCACUCUUAGUCCCUGUGAACUCACUAUAAAGCCUAAGAAGACAAGCUCAUUAGUACAAAAGGUGCACUUCUUAAGGUUGGCAUAAAGACCUUCCUUUCGAAGCGUUUGAAUAACUUGUUCCAAAUGAACUAGGUGAUCAUCGAAUGUAGGGCUAUAAAUAAGUAUAUCAUCAAAGUAUACCACUACAAACUUACUGAUGUAAGGUCUUAGAACUUGAUUCAUAAGCCUCAUGAAGGUGCUAGGUGCGUUGGUAAGCCCAAAUGGCAUUACUAGCCACUCGUAAAGACCUUGCUUGGUCUUGAAAGCCGUUUUCCACUCAUCACCUUCCUUCAUUCUUACUUAAUGAUAUCCACUCCUAAGAUCAAUCUUAGAAAACACAUUAGAUCCAGAUAAUUCAUCAAGCAUAUCCUCUAACCUUGGUAUUGGAUGUCGGUAUUUGAUGGUAAUGUUGUUGAUAGCUCGACAAUCCACACACAUCCCCCAAGUUCCGUCUUUCUUUGGUACUAAGAGGACUGGUACAGCACAUGGACUUAAGCUUUCUCUCACAUAACCUUUGUCUAAUAGAUCCUUCACUUGUUUCUCCAACUCCUUAGCUUCCUUUGGGUUAACUCGAUAAGCGGCUCUAUUGGGCAAUGGUGCACCCGGAACCAAAUCUAUUUGAUGUUCAAUUCCUCUUAUAUGAGGUAGACCAGGGGGUAUUUCAUCCGGAAAUAUCUCAGCAUAUCGGUUCAAAAGGUCCUUCACCUCUUUAGGAAGAUCUUGUUCCAAAGCACUAAAACAUGCGUUCAAAACUUCCUUAAAGAUCAUUAAUAAUACCGGUUCUUUACAAGUGAGUGCCUUAGCUAUGUAGCUAGGUUUGAUCAGAAAAUUACUCUUAGAAGAAGAACUCUUAUCUUUAAGCAUCUUAAUUUGAAUUUCAUGCACUUGAUUCGGGGUAAGAGGAGUUAGAUUAUAUUUUUUUUUAUCAUGGACAAAAGAAUACAUGUUACUACGCCCAUGGUGCAUGGUAUCCUUAUCAAAUUGCCACGGUCUACCAAGUAGAAGGUGACAAGCUUGCAUAGGAACCACGUCACACAAGACUUGAUCCAUAUACUUUCCCACUUUGAAUGGUACUUGUACUUGAUCCGUGAUUUUCAUCUCAGCCUUGUCAUUAAGCCAUCGUAGUUUAUAUGGAUGAGGAUGUUUAGUCCGUCCAAGGCUGAGUUUUGAAACCAUAUACUCACUAGCAAUAUUAGUACAUGACCCACCAUCUAUGAUAAGAUUACAUACCUUGUCUUGGACGGUGCAACGGGUAUGGAAAAUGUUUUCUCUUUGAGCUAACUCAUCGGGAUGAACCGUGAGGUUCAAGACACGCCUUAUGACCAGUGAUUCUCCAUACUCAGGUUCACAAUCAACUUCUUCAACUACAACAUCAUCCAUGGCGACAUCUACUUCAUCUUGUGACUCGUAUUCUCCCGCGUCCGUGAGAAUCAUUACUCUUGUAUUAGGACAAUCUUUAGCCAUAUGUCCUUUGCCCUUGCACUUGAAACAUGUUAUAUCACGAGUUCUUGAAUUAUUAGCGGUAGGGAACUUACCUUGGUUAGGCUCGAUUGGCUUAGACUUGAAUCGAUUGUCAAUAGCCACGGCUUUGCCUUUGUCCAAGGGCUUCACUUGGGAGGUUGAUGAAAAAGGUGUCUUGGCACGUCCUUGAUCCCAAUUUUGAAUAGUUUUGACUCUCCCCAAGCUUGUCAUCUUCUUCUUGAUGUGAUGUUCAGCUUGUAUAGCAUGGUGUAAAAUGUCCUUUAAGUCGUGAUAAGGAUGCAUUUCUACUUUAUGAGAGAUCUUCUCAUGUAACCCGUCAAGAAAUUGAGCCAUGGUGGUCUCGGCAUCAUCGUCAAGCUCCAGCCUAUUCCUUAAAUGCUCAAAUUCUUCGAAAUACUCUUCCACGCUCUUUGUUCCUUGAGUUAACUUCCGGAACUUCUUUUGAAGGUCUCGGUGAUAGUAGGUGGGAACAUAUCUCUUCUUCAUAAGCUGCUUCAUUUCCCUCCAUGUGGUCACUUGAGGAGUAUCACUUCUUCUCCUAUCACUAACUUCACGAUCCCAUCAAGACAAAGCGUGAUUGGUAAGUUGAGCUACGGCCAAGGCUAGCUUCUUUUGGUCGGUGUACUUGUAAUAGGCAAAUAUGUGCUCCAUUCGCUGCUCCCACUCAAGAUAAGCUUCUGGAUCUACCCUUCCAGCAAAGGUAGGAGCCUUGAGCUUCAUAUUCAUGGAAUUAGGCCUUAGACGGUCUUCUUCCUCUUCUUCCAUUUCUUGAUUAUUUCUUUGAGCCCUUCUUCUUCUACGGUUUUUUUUGUGGUGGCUCUCCAUCACUUGAGUCAGUCUCUUGACCAUCUUCACGAUCAACACCAUUCUCUUGUCUUUGGUUGCGGUUUGCUCGAGGUUGCUCGACUUGGACUAACCGUUGUUCCAUGGUAGUGAGUUGUCGUUGCAUUGUUUGCAGCAGUUGCAUCAUAGCGGCAUUGGGAUCACCGGUGUUUUCACCCAUCUCACCUGAAAGUAUUUAAAAAUCAGAGUAUCAAAUUCUUUGGUAAGAGAUAACAAAACAAUCGAAUUGAUCUUCUUACUACCAAUCGUAUCACAAAUCUUAUGUGAAUGGAAAACCUAUGAAACUUAACUUUGAAUUUCUAACAAACGUAAAUGAUCAGUACAAACUAAAGACAAAGGUUAACACAAUAAAUUUCAAAGCAACGAAGUUUUUGUGUGUUUUUUUUUUUUUUUUUUUUUUUUUUUUUUUAAAUUAUUUUAAAAAUAGCAAACGAAUUUUAAAAAUAAUGACAUAAAUUUUUCUGGAUUUUCUAGUGAUUAAAUGAACUAAAACAGCAAGGAAAAAAAAAUUUAUGGAUUUUUUAAAUUGAAACAAGAAAAUAGACGAAAAUUUAUUUUUAUGGGUUUUUUAUGAUGAAAUUGAGAAACAAAAUUGAAACACUUAAAAAAGAACGAAAUAACCUGAUAAAAUAGGAUGGUUUUGAAGCUCUGAUACCAAAAAUGAUAUGAGCUUUGGCUAAAAGUCUUGAGCCAAAUUAGGGGUGAGUUACUAGCCGGUCUAAGGACCUCUCUAACUAACUCGGAUAAGAUGGAGAUGGAGGAUGGAUCGACAAGAACCACAAUAGAUGUGAAAGUCUAUUGAUACUUCUUAGAACACUCAAGAAUUCGGACACACUCACGAAUUAGAGAGCAAAAGAUUUUGUGAAACACAAACAAGCAAUUUUAUUAAUUCAAGGUGAAAAAAUAAGGACUACAACUCAAGGCAUUAUAUAGCCAGGUUCAUAACUUAUUCUAAGAGAAAAACACAUAAAUCCUGCAAGAAAAACAAGGAAAGACAUAACACAAAAAUCAAGAAAAUAAAGGAAAGAGACGUUGGUAAUAAAAGAGAAUAUCAAGGGUGCCAAUUAAGGUAAGUUUGUUCUCUUGACUUUAAAACAUGAUUCUUCUUUGGUCUUGGAGUCUUCUGGACGAACUGAGAGCCUUCUUAGAUGCCUUCUAGCACCAAAGAACACGUGCUUAAGUGGACUUCAAGUUUGGGGUGAAUAAAGCCCAUUUGGCCUCAUUGUUUAUUAGAGAGUCCACCAGACAGAUACUUGCUGUUCGGCCCAUAUCUAGAGAUUUAUAGCUGAUCUCUGGAAGCUCUUUGGUUCUCUGGAAAGUAGACUCAGAGAGCUUCAAUUUGGUAUGUGGCUCGUCUCCUGGAUCAUCCGGAGUCGUUGGUGGUACUUCGUUUAACACGGCCUUUAGCUGGGAGCUCUCGGAUGAAGUUAGGCGAAUGGCUUCAAACUGAUCUAGAGGGAUCAGUCCUUCAUGUUCCAGCUGUUCCACGAAGAUUUUGAACUUCUUCUCUAGGCCUUUGCUCCUGGUCCUAGUCAUUGGGCCGCUUGGUACAUAGGGAGCUUGAAUAAUAUGACUUGGUGGUUCGAUGUCCUCAUCACAACGAAAAAAGUAAACCGUCAAUAUUUUAAGAGAAAGUUGCGAUAAAAAGACACAACAAAAAAAAUAACCUUCAACGAAAGAAGUAACCGUCAAUAUAUUAACGAAGAGUUGCGAUAAAAAAAACACAACUGAGAAAAAACAACCGUCAAUAUUUUAACGGAAAGUUGCGAUAGAAAGACACAAUCGAGAAAAAAUAACCGUCGAUAUUUUAACGGAAAGUUGGGAUAAAAAGUCACAACCAAAAAAAUAACCUCCAACGAAAGAAGUAACCGUCAAUAUUUUAACGAAAAGUUGCGAUAAAAAGACACAACCGAGAAAAAACAACCGUCAUUAUUUAACGGAAACUUGCGAUAGAAAGACACAACCGAGAAAAAAUAACCGUUGAUAUUUUAACGGAAAGUUACGAUAAAAAAACACAAACCUAAAAAAUAAACGUCAAUAUUUUAUCUGAUAGUUGGAUAAAAAGAUACAACCAGAAAAAAAAUAAAUGUGAAUAUUUUACUAGAAAGUAGCAAUAAAAAGACACAACCGAGAAAAAAUAACUGUCAAUAUUUUAACAUAUAAAAAAAAAGUCACAACUGAACAAAAAUUACCAUCAAUAUUUUAACGAAAAGUUGUGAUAAAAAGACAGAAACGAAAAAAUUAACAGUCAAUAUUUUAACAGAAAUUUGCGAGAAAAAGACACAACCGAAAAAUAACCGUCAACAAAAAAGUAACAGUUAAUAUUUAAACGAAGAUCUGAGAUAAAAAGACACAACUGAGAAAAAAUAACCUUCAAUAUUUUAAGGAAAAGUUACGAUAAAAAGACAAUUGAAAAAAAUAACCGUCAAUAUUUUAACGGAAAGCUGAGAUAAAAAGACACAAACGAAAAAAGUAACCGCCAAUAUUUUAACGGAAAGUUUCAAUAAAAAGACACAACUGAAAACUACCGUCAAUAUUUUAACGAAGAGUUGCGAUAAAAAACACAUCCAAAAAAAUAACCAUUAAUAUUUUAACGGAAAGUUACGAUAAAAAGACACAACCGUUCAGAAGUGCAAAACGCAUUUAUUGAGAUUGUUAUUUGGGUUAAUAAAACCAAUUUUAUAUGUAGUCUAAUUAAUGUAAAAAACUUCGUAGUAUCACUAACUUAACAAAAAAUGCAAUGAAAAAUUUAUAAUAGAAAGACAAAACUUUAAAUGAAUAAAUGCAACUAUAAAGAAAUAACCGAAAACUGAAAAUAAACUGUAAUUAAACAAAUAUAACCAUAAAUAAUUCAGCGAAAACUCAAAGAGAAAAUUCAAUAAAAAGACACAACCGUAAAAAAAAUAACCGUAAAUAUUUAAAAGAAAGGUUAUGUUGAAAAACCGCAACUGUUCAAAGGUAUAAAAGGCAUUUAUUGAGAUUGAUAUUAUAUAUAGAUUUUGUGAAACCGUACCUUUUUAUUAUGUUAUAGAAACUGUACUUUUUGUAUUGGCGGAAAAAUGGGUAGAAAGACUCUCACCUUUCUUUUUUUUGGUCGUCCAAAAAAACUCUCACCUUUCUUAAAAACAUGUAAAAUACCCUCAACCUUUUUUGUGGGUUUCUAAACCCUCACCUUUUUAUAAGUGGUAAAAUAAACCCUAAAAUUAAUAAAUUCAACUUAUUUUUUAAAUCGUUAUAUUAAACACUAAUAAAAAAACAAAAAUUAUUUAUGAUUACAUUUUUCAAAUUCGAGUUUGCGAUUUUUUUAAAAUUAAAUUUAUUGCGUUAUAAAAAUUUAUUCUGAAUUUAGUUGAGAUUAGGCAAUUUGUUACCAAUAGAAGUUAUGUUAUAUAAACUACAAAAAUUUAUAGGAUAACACAUUUGAUUUUCUUUUUUGUUCGAGUUUUCAGAUUUUAGAUAAAAAUAUAGUUAAAUAAUGAUUAAAGAAAUGUAAUUUAUAUUAUAUUUUUAAUAUAGAGUGAUAUAUAUAUAUAUAUAUAUAUAGAAAUAUUAACUGUUAGUAAAUCUUAUUUAGUUAGGCCAAUGAAAAUAUUUUGAUGUGGAAAUUCAUGUACAUUUGUGUGAUCGAACUAAUUAAACCUUUUAUUAAUAUAAACUCAUAUUCGGUUUGGUAUAAUAAUUUAUAUUUCAUUCAUAACAAAAUCUGUUUGGUUUCACUUGAUGAAUUUUCGUAAUACAACCAAAUACAGUUUCAUUAAUUAACUUUUUCACAUCAUGACUUAAAAAUUUUCAAUUUAGAAAAAAAUUGUAAACAAAAAUUUUAGGAGAAAAAUCCUAAAUCAAAUUGUUUAUAUUUAUUUAUGUUUUAAUAUAACGAUUUGUUUGAAUUUAAAUUGAGUUUAUUAAUAAUAGGGUUUAUUUUACCAUUUAUGAAAAGGUGAGGGUUUAAAAACCCACAAAAAAAAUUGAAAGUUCUUAAUAUGUUUUUAAGCAAGGUGAGGGUUUUUCUACCUAUUUUUCUUGUAUUGGCCGUUAAAAAAAAAACAAAAUCCUCAUUGACCUGUUGAAAUAUUCGUGUUUACCAAAAGAUAUAUAAUCAAGUAGGGGUAGACUUACAUAAGUGGCUACAGAAACAAUAACGAAGAAGGAAAAAAAGAGAAUGAAAGUUAACACUAAAAGACACUCAUUAAACUGUUUUUUUUUUUUUCAAAUGCAAAAUGGGGUGACAUUUCUAAGAACAUUAGAGAAACGUUUUGUAUGGAAAUUGAUGGUGGAAAGGCGUAAAUUUACUAAUGAAAUCCUCUCACAGAAAAAAAGAAAAAAAAAAAGGAAAAAAAAAAACGAUUUAGAAACUCAAAAACAACCAAAAAAACAUUCAUUCUAGAAAGCUUAUUUUUAUUUGCUAAUUGUUGGAAGAAUACUUUGACUUGAUGAACAAGCAAAAAUAAAAUCAGAAUGAUAUCCAGCAUAAUAAAAAGGAUUAACUGGAACUAAUCAAUGACUAAUUCCUGUCAAACAAAGAAAGCUAGUAUAGGCAUGAAAACAGCUUGCUUAGAGAGCUUCCUCUGUUAAGUAAACAAAACAAUUUUCCUCGAUUUGAUUAUCUUUGGUGCAAAGGAAGUAUAGACUGAUUUCAAAAAAAUCAAUCAAGAUAUAUAUGCUUUGAAGUGGACGUCAUGCAAGAGUAACAGCUUGCGAUUCGAAAUUCAUGAAGCUAUAGUCCGUAAGAAUUUGAAAGCUUUAUCGGAGAUUUGAGAAGGAUGCAGUUAGUAUUAAAGAAAAAGCAAUUAAAAAGUAGACUUUUCUCGUUGUUGUAUUCAAAUCCAUAAAAUUAAAAGGUCUUCAAAGAUUGCGCUAAAUAAGGAAAAAAGACUUGAAUCUUCGAUUAUUUUGACAGUUAGAUGAGAAGAAGGGUUCUUUGAAUUAACUAAUAAAGGUAAUCAAAUAAAAGAGUAAUAAGUUAAGGCUGAUUAAAUACGAGACCACAAUGAUAAUAGAAAAAAGAAAAGCAAAAAAAAAAAAAAAACACAAGAAGAGGUUACAACAAUGCCUUUGUAAUAGGGAAAAAUGUCAUUUAAUCACCCAACUUUAAAAUUGUGGUCAUUUCAGACAUCAACUUCAUAUAUGGCCAUUUAAAACAUGAACUAAACGUUGACUAACGUUUGAGACAUGAAAAUUCGUUGACCAGGCCAAAAUUGGCAUACCGUUAUCAGUCAUUAAUGGAACAUCUAACGGCCGUUAUCACCCCUAACGACUAUGUUAGUCAACUUUCAAAUUGUGGUCAUUUUAAACAUCAACUUCAUAUGUGGCCAUUUAAAACAUGAACUAAACGUUGACUAACAUUUGAGACAUGAGAAUUCGUUGACUAGACCAAAAUAGACAUGCUGUCAUAAGUCGCUAAAAGAACCUAUAACAUCCGUUAACAACUGUGUUAGUAUGCCCGAAACGAUUUUGUUUUGAGGAUAAUCGAGAAGGAAAUCAGUAUUUAUUCCAAAUGAAAACCCCAAAUCCUCAAAUAUAUUUCUACAAUAGCCCAAGCAAGACGAACAAUCCUAUUAUCUCCAUCUCUUUCAACUGCAGCUAGAAAGUGACCUUUUAUUUUUCAAUUCGGAAAAGCUUCAUUUAGCCCUAUGAUGGGUCUACAAGUUUGCUUCCAUGAUUUCUUUUAAGAUUAAAAAUAGAUAUAUAAACGAAAAACCUAUAUUUGCUUCCAAUUACUGGCUCUACGAUAGUCUCUAUAUCAAACUAUGUUCUUGGGUUCUGCUUUAAAACAAACUUUUUUGAUUUGGAGAUUUCAUUUGGGAAAAAUCAUGAUUUCUUCUCGAGUAUCCUCAAAACGACGUCCUUUUGGGCAUACUAACAGAGUUGUUAACGAGUAAUAACGGAUGGUAUAGGUUAUUUUAACGACUAAUGACGUUAUGUCUAUUUUGGCCUAGUCAACGAAUUCUCAUGUCUCAAAUGUUAAAUGUUAGUCAACGUUUAGUUCAUAUUUUAAAUGAAGUUGAUGUUUAAAAUGACCACAAUUUGAAAGUUGACUAACAUAAUCGUUAGGGGUAAUAACGGCCGUUAGAGGUUCUGUCAACGACUGAUAACGGCAUGUCUAUUUUGGCCUGGUCAACGAAUUUUCAUGUCUCAAACGUUAGUCAAUGUUUAGUUCAUGUUUUAAAUAGCCACAUAUGAAGUUGAUGUCUCAAAUGGCCACAAUUUGAAAGUUGGGGAUUAAAUGACAUUUUUCCCCUUUGUAAUAUGUAGAGAAGUAGAAUGUCAAACAUCGUGGGAUUCUUUGUAGGGUCAAACAAACAAAAGUCAUAGAUAAUUGUUUGUGGGUCAAACCUGAAUCCAUGUUCAACGUUUGGGUCAAUAAAUCUGCUGGGCCAAGAUUGGGCGAAAGGUAUACAAGAGAUGCAAAGAGAUGGGCCUCUAAAACGCUAAGCCCACAUGUCAUGGGUCUGUUUAUUGAGCUAUUUUAAGUUGUUGUGAAGCUUACUAAAAAAAAUAAGAAUAUGAAGAGCGAGGGGGUUUACGUAGCCGCUCUGAAAGUCUAACAAACUAGAGGGAAGACAUAGAAGCAAAGAGGAAACAGAUUCAUAGUCCAGAGCCUAAGCUAUCCGGUAAAGUGUUAGUUCAUGUAUCGCCAGACAAAUUUUGAUCUAAGCCGGACUUUAGGCAACAAAAUAGGUCAUCAAAUUUUAAAACAUGUCUUAUUGUACAUUUGGUUAUCAUCUCAUUCAUUGAUAAAAAAGUGAUGAGUUCAAGUCUUGCAAGAAUAGUUUUUUUAAUAAGUUAUGUAUUUUUGUUAGGAAAUAAGCAAACAAUUUUAGAAAACACUAGAAAAAUAUUAACCAAAACCGCUAAACACAAGAUCUUAUCAAUUAAAUAUUAAUCCUCUUCAUUGAAAGCUUUUCUCAAUUCAAAGUCUUUGAAUUCUUUGUCUUUUGAUCCAUCGAUAUACAUAAUUAAGAACUCCGAGAUACAAAUCGUUAUUUGUUAAUCCAUUAAUAUUCAAGGACCCUUUUCGUAUUUAUCCGCUCUGUUAAGAACCGUUUUAUUAAUCAAAAAUAACCAAAUAACAAAGAACAACUCUCGACCCUACUUAUAGAGUUGUAGGUCGGUAACAUCAAAUAUAAAACUUAUCUCUUGAGCUUAACCUAAAAAAAAAAAAAUAUAUAUAUAUAUAUAUAUAUAGAGAAAAGAAUUCCCAAAAUAUGUUGCCACCUUUAAAGCCCACCACUAUAAUAUAAACAUGAAAGCCAAAAUGAAAAUAAGUGUAAGAGACAAUGCAUCAGUCCAUCUCUAAUAUCGGAAAUUGUCUUGAUGUAGAUAAAAAUCACAAACCUCACCAAAAAGUCCUAGUCUUCAUGUCCUCGUUUGAUGUUUACAAAUUUUUGAAAUUGAAACAUAUAGUUAUUUACUCCAGCUUAAUGGACCUUUCUCUUGAGGUUUUGAAACCAUCUAUUAUUCAAAACUUAAGGUGCGAUUGGAGAAAACAAAAAAGUAAUCAGAUCUCAAUCAUAUCUGGUCUUGAACUCGAGUAGAAGAAACUAGAAAAAUUGUCCAACCGCUUCACCCACCACAAUAGAUGGGGCAAACUGUAGAUCGACCGGUUAAACGCCAAAAAGAUGGCAAAAGUAGGAAGAAGAAACAUCGACAUAAACUUGCCCCAAAACAGCGGACCACCACCAAACAACAUUAAAACGAAACAUAUCAAGUCUAAUCAACGGAUGGAGUUGUGGAAACCUCCAACCAUCGGUUAAAAAAUGGCUCUCUUCUCUAUUUUUCUCCUUUCUCUCUUUAAAUUUUUUUCUCAACAGUCUCACAGGUUUGUGUUCCAUAAAUAUUUUUCGUAAUUACGAAUUCACCAAUCACAUUUCAUUUUUGCGAAAGACUACAUAGAAAACAAAAGUUUGGUAUAAAAAAUUAAAAGGUUACACCGAAAGGAGAAUUGUCAUCCCACUUGUAUUUGGAAUUAAACUUUUCUUAUAUAUAUAAGAUGCAUAUAGUUAUAAUCAGGCUAAAAUUUUAUUCUGGAUCUGGUAAUAUUAAUUACGCUUCUCGGUUUUAUAAAAUUAAAAAUUAUAAUAUCAAUUUCUUAGAUUAAUUUGUUUGUCAAGGAAAUAUGGAAAAAAUAAGACAAAAAUAUUAUCAAGACAUCCAAGAAAAAUUCAAACGCUUUUCUGUAAUAUCUAUGACUGUGAACUAAGAUCCGGACAGACGAAUGCGAAACAAAUGGCCAACCAAAGACCAAAAUCAAGCAAAGGGAAUGCAAGAACAGUUGACCAUGGUAAAGGAGCAUGCAUUAGAAAAAUAAAGUGUUUCUCCGUUAAACGGGAAAACUCGGCUCAAGCCAAGCCCAUUGUCAAUCACUCUCAGUUGGUUGAGACUCCAUUAAAUAAGAUCAAAUACUAAAUUAGCUGAGAUCUUAUUAGUUUUGGUCAAGGAGACGUUGUAGAUUGCCGGUGAAAAUCCAUCUUAGGCAAACCGGUACGGGUAACUCACCAUGACCGAUCGAUGGCCUCGCACCAACCAUAUUCACAAGCAAGCUUGUAAGUAGCUGCAUAGUUUCAAUGGACCAAAAACAGCCGAACGGGCAAUUCACAGAACCAGGUGGCUAAGAGACGACCACGCAGGUUCGUGAAAAAUUUGUGGUUGAGGUUGUGCCACGCCGAAUCAUAUCUUUUCGGUGGUCGACCUUAUUCGUUAGACCUCAUAGUUAUUAGUUAGACCUGAUAGUUAUCCGAAAUCGUCAUGUGUCAUCGCACAGAGGAUGAUUAGUGUGAAUAUAAUCGCGGUGGAAAACCAUAUCGGACCACUUGUUGCGACGGCGGGACAUAAGCUGUCCUCCACAUGCAUCCCAACCAACUUAGUGUUGAUUUUUUAUUAAUGAGUUUUAUAUCAAGACGAAGAGAAACAGAAAACGCCAUUUAUAGAAGGCGGAGAGUGAAGAUGAAGCUGCUGAAAUAGUCGUUGAACUAGUUCAGAGUAGUACAAGAAAGAACAGAAUUACGUGAAGCAAGUAUUUGGAAAUUGGUAAAGUCGGUCUAUGGCGGUUGGAUGUGGAUACUAGAAGUUUGGAGAAAAUUCUAGAAGACUGAAGGGUUUCUUUUUCACGGGAGAAAAAAGAAACAGGAAGAGAAAUGACAAUUUCCUAAUCCUUAAAAAAAAGGAAAUUGUCUAUUCCUAUUAGUGUUAGAAUAGAAAAUCGGCUUGUUAUAUAGCCACGACCUAUUUAGUAUAAAAAAGGUGUUUAGGCUUUAGAAAAGAUGAGCACAAAAGAGCAAGAGAAUUCUUAGACAUUAAGGUUAUGGGGUUUCUUGUAAGAAAGCAUAAUGCUUAAGGGGGCUAAGGGGUUUGUCUUGAGGGAGUUGUUGAUCGGGUUGUGAUCUAAGAACGAGAGAUUGAGAGAAUAGAAAAUAGUUUAAGGAGAAACCUUUUAAACGUAUUUUCUAUUAAUCAAAAAAAAGAGUUUUUUUGAAGAAACCCGUGUCUCAGUUUGUGACUCAGUUCCUGACUCAGUUUCUAUCUUACACCGUGAACUAGUUUUCAUACAUACGAUAGCUCUUUCGUUUUCAAUUGGUAUCAGAGCGGUCACCUAUGAGGAUUGCAUAUAGGUGAGAUCAUGUGGAGAAGAUGGAGAGAUUUCAUGGACUUGACAUCGGGUCAAGAGUAAUAUUGAAUGAUGGAAACUAUGGUUUUUGGAAAUCAAGGAUGAAGGCGGUUAUAAGAGGCAUUGAUGUCUAUGCUUGGAAAGCCAUAUUGAAAAAGUGAGAUGAACCCAAA
rnacentral:lncRNA from 1 species